rnacentral:lncRNA from 1 species
UUUUUUUUUUUUUAUUAAUAUAGUUUGUAAAAUAUCUGGAGGUUGAUAGUGGCCUUAAUUUGAGGAUUAAUGUCCCUAAUUUUGAAUUAUUAAGCAAACUAGUUGUGGCCGGCAAUCACAUCAACUUGGACAAAGCUAAAAAAUUGGAGAAAGUUACUAAUCUUUAAGUAUAUUUUAUACUCCAAAAUUUAUUUUUAUUUAUUCCGUAUUUGAUUUGAAAUACUCCUUAAAAUUUAAGAAACUGUAAUUAAAAUGAUGAAAUUAUAAUAAUAUAAGUUAUGUUGGAAUUAGUUAUGCUGAGAUUAUUUCUAAUUGAAUAUUUGGUUUAUUGUAUUCAAAAUAAUAUGCAUUGCAUAAAUUUAUUAUUUCCAUCGUUCGUUAAGAAAUAUAUUUAAUAUGCAUUGAUACUCGUUAUUUUCAUCGUUCAUUAAGAAAUAAUAUGCAUUGCAUGAAUAAAUUGAUAUUAUCUUAUUAUCUAAAGUAUAACGAAGUAGUCAUUUAUAAAAGCGAGAUUAGUAACUAAAAAUUAAAGUAAUUUAUAUAUGUACACGUUAAAAAUCAGUUACUUUAAAACCUCACUAAAUUGAUACUCGUUUAAUUAAUAACCCUCUUUAAAUAAUAUUUUCUUCCAUUUCCGAUUUGGCCAAUAGAAAAAUCAUCAAUUCCGAUAAGAUAAUAUAUUUCCAGAAGACCCUUAUAUAAAUAAUUAAUAUUAUAAGCGAAUAAUUCUUUAUAAUUACAAAUAUAUCUAAGACAAUUUAGUCGAAUAUGACUCUAUUGUGUUCUGAUUUUUUUUGUUAAAAUUUUAAUCUAGUUGAAACGUAUCAUCUUCAACUUUAUCACCAACAUUAUUUUUUUUGAUGGUAUCCAUAAUUUCUUCUAAGUUUUGAACCUCUGAACUGAACAUUAAUCAUUUUCACCCAUCCAACAUGUUAUUAACAUCUAUUUUACUAAGUUAACUGAGAUCAUUAAUCAUGACAUCAAGUUCAUGAAAGACCUUUCCACAAGUGGGUUCAUUUAAAAUCUCUGAAAUUUCAUCUCCAAAUGAAUUUUGCGAUGUCAAAACACUCUUUAAAUUAAUAAAUAUUAAUUUAUCAAUUAAAUAAUAACUAUAAAAUAAUAAUAUUUCAUGGUCUCACUUAUAUUAAUUUAGUGAGAUUUAUUGUAAGUCAUUUUUGUUAUCAUCUAAAGUACUAUAGCCAAGUAGUUUUGUCUUGAAUUAUCGGCCAUGAAAAUGUGUAUGACCAAAGAAUGUGGCGGAGUGGAUGAGAUCCCUCCUCUCUUAAUUAGAGGUUUCGGAUCCAGGUCUUGAAUAUGAAAACAUCACUGGUAGAGAGUGGGUCUUACCAACGAGAAUUCUAAUUGUGGAUACCGAACAUCGAAUGAAAAAGAAAAAAAGAAAAACGUGUGUGAAAGAGGGGUAAGAUUGUAAAAUUCAAAUAAAUUAUAUGGCACUAGAGGGCAAUUCUAGUUCAUUUUGCACUUGUACAUUAACUUGUGGCCUAGCGACUAGCGAGGUGUUGGCUUGUAUAUAGUUUGAGUUACAAGUUCGAUAUAAAAAAUUGUUUGGAUUUAUUGGAGACUCAUCGGAAAAAAAAGUCAACAAUUUAUAUUUUAUAAUAAAAAGGAAUGAAAAAGGUAAAAAGAAUUUGUGCCUUUAAAGUUUAAACAACACAAAGUAUACAAGAAUAAUUACAAAAGACUUUCUAGAUUUUUAUUUCCGUUUUUUCAUCGGUAAACAAUAAUUUUUCUUUUCUAAUUUAUACUUCCAUGUAAAUAGAGAAGUUUGUUAUUUAAGAUAGCUAAUAAAUAGGAGAUCGUUGAAUAGUUUGUUACCUUUUCAACUUUUACUUUCGUGUAAAUACUAAUUUGUUAUUUAAGAGAAACUAAUAAUUAGGAUAGUUGGUUAUUGUUAUUUUAUCUUUUUUCUAUAUAUAGAUGUAUCCUACAUAGGAAUAAAGUUACAAACAUUCAAAACAAUUUUUUUUUAAAUAUUUUACUAUCUUUUAUAUUCUUAUUCAAAAAUUACCUUUAUAUUAGCAAAAUUACAAAUUAUAAUUUUAAUCACAUCGCCCUCGAAUUUUAUCAGUAGUUUAAGAUUGUGGAAUAACAGAAGACUAUGUACAAUCACACAUGAAUUGUCUUUUGCUAGUCCACAAUCUUCUACUACUGAUAAAAUAUCUCGUGUGGUUAUAAGGCUCCAAUAAAUUCAACAAAAAUCAACAAUAAGUAAUCAUAGAGAUAAUAAUUUCAGUCUAUAUUUAUAGAAUCUGUUCAUUUAAUGUAUUAUCUAGUUAUAUAAACUAUAGUAGUUUGAAACAACAAGGUGAUUACUUACUCAUUUAAUUAGAUUACUAAUAAUUCAGGUUUACUAGAUAAAGAAUAUGUUAUUUUCUUAUUAUUGUGUAGAUAUUUUUAUAUUUGUCGUGUAUUAAACUUAAAUAUUAAGAAACUAUUUUUUUUGUAUGUAAAUAAAAAUUCUUGUGUUGGGUGACUCUUUUGAGAGACGAAGAAGAGUCUCCUGGAGAAUAAUAUGUUUAUCUUGUGGUGUAGAAUUCAUCAAACAAAUUCAAUGAAUAUGGGUUCUCAUAUGCUCCGGAUCGGAAUUUCUUUUAUUCUUAAUUAGAAGUUUCAAAUUGAAUGAGUAUGAAAUAUUUUUUGUUAAAAGCAUCCUCCUUAGAGGUGAAGUCAAAAUUUUAAUCUUAUGAGUUCUGAGUUUUUUAUAAGACAAUUUCAAAUAUUAAUAAUUGGAUUCUAAAAUUAAUAUUUUUUUUAUAUUUAAUAAUACAUUGAGCAAAAAUUUAAACGGAAAUGGACCUAAUAAUAUAUAAAUUUUAAUUUUAAUCGAUAAAUUCUAAUAGAAAUAUCAAACAUUGAAAAGAAAAAAAUAAGUAAGACCACUUGUGGGAUAUAAUAACAUAAGUUGAUCAUAUCAAAAGAACUAUAUAUAUAUCUUGUGGUGUAGAACUCAUAAGACAAAUAAAGGAGUUGAUUUGAAAUGGCAUUUGUAUUUAUCUUUUUAUUUUUAUUAUUUAAAAAUAAUAAUUUGUGGCUAUAUAUAUAGUUGAAGCACUGUGGAAGAUAUUAUGAGAAAGAGGUUGCCUUGUAAAAUACUCUUUAAAUUAUGACCAUCAUUUUUAUUUUAUUAUAUUAUAUAUGUGUGAUUAUUAUGAUCACUCAAACAAGAAUCAAGUUUGGACCUACUCUUCAAUUAUGACAACUAUAUUUCUUCUUUCUUUUUGACGUUCUCAAUAGGAACACUUGGUUCUAGUAUAGUCCUUGUAUAUUACAUAUGAUGAUUAAUAAUGUCUUUUUAAUUUCUACAACUUGUCUAUUAAAUACUCUUAAACCUCAUGUCUGCCCUUUUUUGGAUGAGUUUAUUUUAUGUUUGUUUGGAAUAAAAUUAUAGAAUAAUUUAUUUUGAGAUUAGUUAUUCUUGGAUAGUAGUGUUAUUUUGAUAUCACAUUAAAGGUGUAAUAAUAAAUAUGAGAUAACUAAUUUCAUAAUAAUUAGUUUUGAGAUAACUUGUUCCCAACCAAAUGAGUCUUAGAUUCUCAUUGUAUCUCCUUCGAUUGGGCACCAUUUCACCAAACAUGAUUGAGAAGAAUUAAUCUAAAUAACCGUGCAAUCCUUCCGUAUCUAACUCUAUUCAGAAAGUAGCUUAUAAUAUUUUCUUAAUCAAAAUAGAAUAACUUUAUCACUCACCUCCCUCCUCUUCGCAUACUUUGAACUGGAUAAUUGGAGUAUGAAUAAUAUAAUAUCAGAAUUUGACGGUGGAUAAACUAAGAAUUAAGGAAGACUCUAGCUUUAAUACUAUAAUACUAUGUAAAGAAAAUGAAAUUUGAAUUUAACUUUAACCCUAAAAAUUAGCCUAUUAUGUGGAUAAUUAUUCAAUACCAUCAUAUGGUUACAAUUACUCAUUCCCUCAAUCAAAUUAUAAUUCAUGUCAUUACAACUUGAAUUUUGACUUAUUUUUCUAUUUUUCAUCCCUCAAAAAUGUGGAAAAGGUGGGGAAUCAAACAAAGGAAUUGAUUCUAAAGCUAAAAGCAUUUAUGCUAUUGCCCUGAGAGAGGGACAAGCCCUUAUCUGAAAGGGAUGUUCAUCUUGGUGAAGUUGACACAUUUUGUAUAAGAGAUUGAAUUAUUUAAUUUUAUUUUCAAAUAUUAUAAAAUUAUUUCAUCUCUACAUAUAUGGUGAAUAAAGUUGGCACAUGUUAUGCAAAUUAAGUAGAACUCCUUAUAUUAUAAUGCAAUUUUCAGUGAAAUAAUUUGAACAUUCAAUUCUAAAUCUUAAAGCAAUGGAUAAUUAAUAAGGAAUAUAAAAGACCCAUAAUUACUAAUUUCUCCAUUCCAAAACAAAUGAAUUUCUGGGGUGUGCUUUAAGAAAAUUAGUUAAUUACAUUAGUCAAAGGUAAUUUAUCAAUACUAUCCUUUUAUUUCUUCCCAAAGUUUUCUUAAAACUAGAGAUGUAAUUGAAAACCCCAUAAAAAAGAAGGGUAAUUUUGAAAAAAAAUAAAAAAUUAAUACAUUUUUGAAGUUUGAAAAAUUCAUUCAUUUAGAAACAUAAAAAGUGUCAGAAAUUCAUUUAUUUAGUAGCGAUGAGGGUAUUUUUGUAGACACACACAAAUAAUUACGCAACAUAACAAUAUAUUUUUUUUAAAUAGCUAUAACUUUUGUUUUGUGUAUGAAAAUCACUUUUGUGUUGUUAUGGGAAAAGUGAGAAUGCAACUCUCUCUUUUUCUUUUCUUUUGAGUAUGAAAACAACUUUUGAAAUUGUUAUGGAAAAACAGGUGGCAGUGAUGAAAAACAGGUGGCAGUGAUGACUUAUGAUAGAUUUGUGGUGAUAAUUUGAAAGUGGAACAAAUGUACGUCUGAUAUAUGUUCAACGUAUCACACUAUAUAUAAAAGAGAAAAGACAUUAAAUAACACCUGAACUUGUCCUGAAUUUUCAUUAAGACACUUUAACUAUGCAGACGUCCUAUUAGGAGUAUAUCUUGUAUAUGUCAAUGUAUAUCAUUGUAUGUCAAGUGUGUUCAUGACAUACACAUGACAUAUAUGAUAACUCCAUAAUGUCCCAAUCCAGAGUAACAACCAUAAAAUCACGUUUGCCAUUCUCCAUAAAUCAUAUAUGUAAUAGUUUACAGUAAAGAUUUACUAUAAUUUACAAGAGAAAAAUUGGAGUCGCUAUCGGUUAGGCAAAAUAACUUAUUUAUUCCAGACAUGUAAAUCAAGUUAGAAAUAGUACAUUAAACGCACAAAAAAAAAAUCGCAAUGUCUCAAGAAAGAUUAAUGGCACUCCCGCAUAGUUUUUCUAGUUCGUCUUCCAAAACCUUUUGCAGGUUUGCCUUGGUUCGUCUAUAGAUCCAACCUUGAGAGCUCUGAUCCCAGUCAAACCUUGAUGGACCGCUGCAACAAAAAUGUUUCGUGAACACAAUGGAGAUCGGAUGGGUGUGUGUCUGAAUAUCGAAACUUAACACAAACCAGAAAGAGCAAAUGAUUGUAGUAUGAUAUACCAACUUCAUCAGUAAAAGCUUAAAGAAAAUUUAAAAAUGGCAUUGAAGUGAUACUGCUAUAAAUAUAGGGAAACCAGAGAAACAAGUGAAUCUUUUGAAUCCACUGGCGAGUGAACAUGCUCUUUCGUGGAUAAAAUAAUAAUUCACACAGUACGUUUAAAUGUUCUUCCGGGUACUUUUAAUUUAACUAUCUACAUCUGGAUAUUAUUUUCAUAACAGAAAGCAUAUUACGGCCAUAUUGUUACAAUUAUGUAUAGAGCAGAGUACAGGGAAAGCCCCUCAAUGAUAUACACACUCUUUGAACUCAAUGAGCCUAUAAUAAUUGUUUGCUGGUCUAAAUGUGUAAAUAUUCGACUCCUCAUAGUUGUUUCUUAAAUAUUGACUACGAAUCACAGAUUCUUUUUUCCUAAGCAUGUUACAGUCUUAUAUAUACGCUUAAGGAAGUACAAGAAAUGUUUCCAAGUUGAGGAAAAGAGAGAACAAUGAAAUUAUAGAUGGAGGUGGGACAGGGGACGUAUUUGCAGACUGCAUUGUGUUAGAAGGUUGAUUUUUGAUAUGGUCCACACCAAGAUUAUAUGAAAAUAAAAAGAUAAACCAAGACACAUCAGAAAUGCAAUUACAAAGAGAGAGAGAGGCAUUGGUACCUCACUGGUGAAGACAUCCAAAUCUGCCUAUUUGGCGUCUGUUUGUUUAUCACGUAGGUUCCCAGGCUCCCAAGCUUCAGCGUUAAAACCUCAUUCUGAGAACAAAAUCUAGAAUAUCAAGACAAAUGCAGGACAUUGAAAGAAAUAUAUUUUAAUGCUAUUUUAUACUUCUCACCCCAUAAUCCACAUCGAAACCAUCAAUGUCAACUGAGUCCCCAUAUUCCUGUCAUGUAGAAAAACGAUGCAACUGUUAAAACAAUCAAAAAAUGCAGACUGCUAAUCAUAUGUACAACACAACCCAACUCAAAUUUAACUUAGCAGAUUGACAAACAAUUUUAACAAGAAAAGGAAGUGCGCUGCAUGGGGUUAAAAUCUCUUCAUGGAUAUGAAUGCAUGAUGCAUAACCAAUCUUUGGGGUAACAUGUUCUUCAACUACUCGACAAAAAGUAGAGCAAUUUCAAGCAGCCACUUGGGAAAUUCAAUCCAAAUGACAUACAUAAGAGAUUGCACGUGGAUGUUUCAGAAUGCUAGUUGACAGACUAAUUAACUACCAUCAUUCUCAAUUGGCCAUGGAAAUGUAUUUGGAGAAACAAGGCCCCAUUGAAAGUAAAGUGUUUCACAUGGUUGGUGGCUCACGAACAGUGCCUACCUCAAGAUAACCUUCGGAAAAGAGGAAGGAUUAUUUGUAGCAGAUGUGCACUGUGUGAGAGGCACAAUGAGGAUGCCAAUCAUCUUUUUAUUCACUGUGCAUUCAUUAGACAGAUCUGGGAUUUUGUUCUGAACAACAUCGGGGUUAACUGGAAAAUGCCAAGGACGACAAGAGAACUGCUCCAGUGUUGGUACUCAAGAAGAUUUGGUAAGACAAAGAUGAUAAACAUGAAAUAUCUCCCUUCGGCAGCAUGGUGGACCCUUUGGAAGGAAAUGAAUGCAAGCAUUUUUGAAAGCAAAUCAGAAUAUGUAGUUAGUACUAAGUACAGAUGUUUAUCCCAACUGUUUUUUUUUUGUGUAACAUGGCAAUUGCAAAUGAUAUAGAGGCCAUGAUAGAUUUUCUGAGCUCACUACACAAAAUGAAAUGGAGCGACCCCUUGUAAAUUCCCCACGCACCUUCUGGUUGCUGGACUUUUAAUACAAUACCUUUUUAACGAUAGAAAAAGUCCAAGUAAUUUUUCUAAGUAUCAAUAAAUUCCUGAGGGUGAGUAGCGCAAGGCUCACGGCUCGAUGGAUAAUAGGCCCACCCAUCUAACCUUCUCCACAUAAAUACCCAAGCUUUUGUUUAAGAGAAGUUCCUGAUACUAACUAAACUUUUGAAAACAACAAAGAAGAUCCAAUACAAACAAACACUAAUUUUAGACUGACUAAUAAACAUCAGCAACCACCUUGAGUAUCACAGUGCAACCGCUAAGGCCUAAGAUAUAGGAUCAUAUACGAGAAAGUCCAACUAAACUUGAUACAAAUAAAGUUAAACUUAAGUAUAUUGAAUACAUCAGUAUACCUCCAACUUAUCUAGCAAGUCAUGGAUGGUGGCAUUUGCCAGUCUGUGAUACUCAUCUUCCUGCAGCAGAGACCUGUAAAUUUACAAAUUUAGUAUGACGAUACAGACACAUUUUCCUCAAAAAAAUUCCAACUAUGGAAGGACGUUCUAAGAAUUACAAACAGAAAACAACCUCCAUUGUAGAUAUUACAGAGAGAGCAACACACACACAGAGGAGAGAGCGAGAGAGAGAGAGAGAGAGGGGGAGGGGGACUAAGACAACGUUAGUUUCUAUGCGAGAAUCAACGGUACUGUCAUAAGACACAAAAAUCUAAGUAUCAAGCAUUGACUAUUAUGCAGCAAGAUGGGAGCUUUAGCAAUAAAUUGCAAAUCCAUGGGACAAUAGCGCAAAUGUUUUAUGCUGCUCUUCCUUUAACACGUAGAGAAAAGGUGUACCAUUUCAAUCUUCCCAAAUUUACUUUUCUUUUGUCAAGCUUAUCUUUACUUGUCUAGAAAUGCAGUAUUAGCUUUUCAGACAAUAUAAUUUCCCCCAUAUAAGAUCUAUAGGAGCCAGGCAAAACAGUUUCAGACUUAUGUGCAGUUAUUUGAAGCUUCUGAUGACUUCUUCUACUUUUCAUCAUAUUUUUGUUUUACAUCCACCUUAGCUUACUUUUACCUCACAUUACAUCAACCAUGCAACACACCCUCAGUCAAAACAAACCAAAAUAGCUAUUCCUUUAUCACGGGCAAGUGUAAAUCAAACACUAAACUUCAUCUAUUACUCUAGUGCUGGACCACGGCUUCAAAAAUCAGUACAUUGACCUGCAGAAUUCUUCUAGACUAAUUGUAUUACCUACAUUCUAUCCUCACUUACAUUGGAAGUCGAACACAUUGGAAAAUCAAAGAUUCUCUGAGAUACAGUAUAAAAUGAGGACAUUAAGCUGCGUAAUCAAACUAAAAAACUUCAUCUUUGAACAUUUAUGUGUUUACACCCUUUACAGUGAUGCUUAACAAUUACACAAAGGAGGCGGAGAGGGGAAAUUAGAAGGACACGUGUUUGGUAUGAUGGGAAAUUUUUCCUCAAUGAAUUUGUGUUCCACGAAAAUACUAAAAGUAAUUAUGCCACUUACCACAGAAAUCAUUUUCAUUUACAAAGAUCCUUACUCUUAUUCAAUCUCACUUACUUCAAACAAUGGUAAGACAUGGUGGCCGAAGAUUAGGAUAGGAAGAUAGUAGGUAGCUAAGUGUUGUCACAUUUUUGUGUGGGAGAGGCAGGAGUCUAGCCCCCUUCUCCUCUCCUCCUUUUUUGAAAUAUUUUGUAGUUAUUGCAUAGUUUCUUAUUCUUCAAUGUACUACUAUAUGUUGUUGUAUUUGCUUUGUAUCUUGCCACUUGAUUGUCUUAUUCCCUUACAAACCUGCAUUGGGUACAUUUCUAUUGAGUCAAGGGUAUACGGGAAACAGUCUCUAUACCUUCUAUACUUCACAAAGGUAGGGGAUAAGUCUGCCUACAUCCUGCACUUCCCAGACCACACUUAUGGGAUUACACUGAGUUUGUUCUUGUUGUUUAGACAUUGGUUAUUGACCUUAACUACCCAAAAUAUCACCAAAAACUUUACCCUCACAGUAAAAUACUCAAUUCUCAUCAACAGAAGUCCAGUUGGGUUUUUCUCCCCACAAAGAGGUUUGAGGCAGGGAGAUCCACUUUCUCCUUUUCUCUUCAUACUUGCAAUGGAGGGUUUAAGCAGAAUGUUAGAUAAAGCCAAGCAAUUGCAAUGGCUGAAUGGUUUUGAUGUGGGGAGCAUGAUCACUACAAACAUCUCUCAUCUGCUUUAUGCAGAUGACACUGAUAUUUUGUGAGGCAAAUAGGAGUCAAGUUCUUUAUUUGAAUGGAUAUUUUGUGAGGCAAACAGGAGUCAAGUUCUCUAUUUGAAUCUAACCCUUUUGAUUUUUGAAGCCCUCUCAGGUUUGCACAUCAAUAUGCUAAAAAGUGUGAUCUAUCCUGUUAAUGAGGUGCUAAACUUGGAGGAAUUAGCAGGUAUCUUGGGAUGUAGUGUGGGUGAAUUCCCGGCAACCUAUUUGGGGUUGCCAUUGGGUGCAAAGUAUAAGUCAACAGCUAUAUGGGGACGAGUUAUUGAGAAGUUCGAGAAAAAAUUUGCCUCCUGGAAGAUGCAGUACCUAUCGACAGGGGGCAGACUUACACUGAUCAACAGUGUACUUGAUAGUAUUCCCACAUACUAUAUGCAACUUUUUCCUAUUCCUGGCAAAGUGUUGGAACAACUUGACAAGAUCAGGAGAGAUUUUCUAUGGGAAGGGAAUAGUGAGAAGCACAAGUAUCAUCUGGUGGAAUGGCCAAAAGUCCUUCUUCCUAAACUACAGGGGGGGUUAGGGAUCAAGGAUUUGGCGCUGCAUAAUAAGUGUCUACUUAUGAAAUGGUUAUGGAGAUACACACAGGAGGAACAUGUUUUAUGGAAGGAUGUGGUCAGUGCAAAGCAUGGGAUACAGAGUCAUUGGUGCACCAGUCUUUCAAAAGCACCUUAUGGGGUCGGAGUCUGGAAACACAUAUGCAAGCUAUGGGAGAAAUUUUCUCAGCAUAAGCACUUCACAGUGGGGAAUGGACUUCAUAUCAGAUUUUGGAAAGACAAAUGGCUUCGCAACACAGUUCUGAUGGAUGAUUAUCCAAGUCUUUUCAACUUAGCCAGGGAUCCAGACUCAACAAUUUCUCAAAAUAGAGAUGGAGCAACCUGGAGCAUUAUGUUUAGAAGGAAUAUGCAGGAUUGGGAGUUUAAUGACCUGAUCAAACUACUACAGACUCUACAGAGUUUCUCUCUCAACACUCAGGCAACAGAUCAGUUCAAAUGGGGUACUACAGGAGACGGGAAUUACACAGUGAGUGCAGCCUACAAGCAGUCAAGAGCAUUUAAUGCAGUCACUGACCACUGGCCAUGGAAAUUAAUUUGGAAAAUCAAGCUACCGCCCAAGAUCGUCUGUUUUUGCUGGACUGCACUAUAUGAAGCAUGCCUAACUCAAGACAACCUCUAUAAAAGGAAACGCAUCAUUGUGAAUGGAUGCUACUUAUGUCAGAAAGCAGCAGAGAGCAAUAGGCACCUUUUUCUGCAUUGUACUGUUACAGCAAAAUUGUGGAACAUGUUUUACUCUUUUUUUGGACUCAGUUGGGUCAUGCCACAUAGUAUCAAAGAAGCUUAUGAGAGUUGGUGUUGCUGGAAAGUUGACAGCACCAUCAAACAGACUUGGAAGAUGAUACCUGCAGCAAUUUUUUGGAGUAUUUGGAGGGAAAGGAACAGAAGAUGUUUUGAAGGUCUAUCAACUCCUUUACAUUCUCUCAAAGCGGAAUGCCUUAUGUGUCUGUACAGUUGGGUUAAUUUGUCCUAUGUAGAUUCCCUGGAUAGUUUUUCAAAUUUUGUUGGCUCCUUAGUUUUAGCAUAAUUGUACUUGAGCCAGCAGACCAACUGUUUUUGCUUCUACUUUUGUAACUAAUUUGCAUCUUCUUGAUGCCUUCAAUGGAACAUUUACUUCAUCAAAAAAAAAAAAAAUUUACCCUCACACUCUAUCCUACACCUUGCACACUUACCAUAAGUGAUGCACCUCUCCAGCAAAACACCGGACAGACAAUAUUUUCCAAUGGAGAACACUUUCCUCCACACCAGAUGCAUCUGUCCCUAUUUCUACUUCUAACAAUCCUCAAACCGUACACUCAAUACUACUCUUCAAUCUAAUAUUCAGGUCUACUAACAUCCUAGGGCAUGCCCUAUUUCGCAACAGAAAAACAACUAAGAUCGAACUAGUUUCAAGCAAAUUGAAAAUUAAGAAUUCUAGAUAUAGGAUAAUCUCCGUUCUCCAAUUGUUCAAGCAAAUUCUAUAAUCACUACAAAUAAAAGCAAGUAAUCGGAACUAAAAUUUGUUAACCUACCGGUAAUCAAUAGCAGCAGGACCUUCAGAAGCAUCUUGGAGAGGUGACGAGCGGGAACAAUAGCUUCUAGAAACUUUUGAGAGUAACGAUUUGGAUAUAGUACCCGAAGGUUCUAGAAGAUAUUUAUGCGUAGAAGUAGAAAGAAAUGAUCUUUGUAUUAAUGAAGAGGAAUUAGGUUUGAGAGCUCUGCAUAGCGAUUUCCGAAGCAGAAGCAGUUUCCGUGAACAAGAAGACGCCAUUUUUGCUCUUUAGACCAGUUUCCAGUUCCUUCGCCAUUCUAGUUACUUUACACAAGCUGCCAACAGGCCCAAACUUAUUCUUUAAGGUUUAAGCCCAUCAUUUUAUAUACUUUUUUGGGCCUUGCACACUUUGUUUCGAUGAUCGUUAGAUAUUAUUUCUUAAUGUAGCGUAUUGUUGUUGUAUUAUAUCAUAUUAUACUUUUUAAAUAAAUAUAAUGUUUGGAUGUAUUGUAUCGUUUCCCUUUAUUAUAUAAUUUCACACAUUCAUAGUUUGAACAAUAAACCUACAAGAAAUUAUAGGAUACGGGGUGAAGCUACUAUGAAAAGGUGGAAACAAGAAAUAGGUUUUUUCGUCAUUAUCUAACGAUAGAUUUAAAUGAUGUAACAUAAUAAAAUUUAAGUAACAAUCAAAACAAACAUCGUAUUUAAACUAAUAAUACAAUACAACAUAUAAUAACCAUCCAAACAAGGUGUCAAUGUUCGUCAGGAAAAUUAUUACUUGGUAAAAAUUAUCCCCUUUAUUAGCCUAAUCAAAUGGUGAAAAAAAUUACACUUUGUUUUAAUACCUUUUAAUUAUCCUAAAAGUAUCUCUAUCGUUGAUUUUUGCAAUUAUAUAUAUUUGACAUUUGACAUUUGUUUAACCCAAAAAGAAAAAUGUAGAUAUAGGUUUAUGAUCAUUUUAUCCUUACUUAUGUCCUAAGAGAUAAAAAAAAAAUACAUUUAACAUUUUCUUUAUUUAUGUGUUAUUACCUUAUAAUUGAAAUAUUUAUAGACUUUAAUAACAAUUACUAUAAAAAAAAUGUUUUUUUUUAUCUUGAACAUGACAGAUAAUUUAAGAGAGAAAAUAGGGAGUAAGAAUUGGUUUCCAAACUAAAUCUCAUUUUUCAUCGGUCAAAGCAACCCCAACAAAAUAACUGAAACCUCACAAAAAUAGUUUCUUUAAACAAAAGAACAACUAUAAUAUAUGGUAUGUAACAAACUAGACAAUUAAUUAGUUGAUAAAAUGAAUUCCAAAAGGCCAAUUGAAAGAAGAAGUAUGCUGUUAUUUUUUACAUGGAAAUGAAAAAUGAAAAAGGAGUAACAAUUAGUUACUUAGUUGAAAGUUCAUCAACCAUAGAUAGAACUAAUCCCUUCAAGAGAAGAAUUCAUUCAAAUCCAACUAUAUUAGGGACAAGAAGGAAAUUUGGUUGUAAUCGUCGAGCACAACUUUUAGCCAUUGCUCAUGAGUUAAGGCAUCAUCAACAACUAUCUCACAAGUCAUCAUCGAAACAAAAACACAAGGUAAUCAUAUAUAGUGAAAUGUUCUUUUUUAUUUUAUAACAAAGAAAUUCUACGUCCAAUGCAUAAUGGAUAUGUACAUCUACGUUCUCUACUUAAAUAUUUCAAACUUUUGAUCAUGGUUGGAUAUAGAGGUGGAUCGAGAAAAAAAAUUGCUCAAGAGUUCAAACUAUAAAGAAUUAAACACAUAAAUAAAUCACGGAAUCCAAUAUAUAGUAUAUAUACAUAUAACAAUAACAACAUAUUCAGUAUAAUCUCAGAAGUAGGUCAGAGAAGGAUAAGAUAUCUACACACUUUAUCUCUAUCUUUAUGAGACAAAAAUGUUAUUUUCGAUAAACCUUCGGCUCAUAUAGUAUAUAUACAUAAGAAAGAAAGAAAAGACAAAAAAAGUCUUCUUGGUCGAGCUCGUGGCACCGAGCUUGCCUAGUGCGGGUUACCUCUCCUGUGUGAUUUGCAAUUUGUUGCGGAGUGAAGUUUUACCUUGUGCGCACUCAAAGGAUAGUGGCUACGGAUUUCCUUAAUUAUAAAAAAUAAAAUAAAAAUAAAACUCUGCACAUGUAAUUUUCCAGUGAAAGGUCAAUAUUACUUUAGAAUUUGAACUAUUCCUUUUAUAUUGUUAAUACAUAUUCAUAAUCAUGUGUUGCGCUCUUAUCGCUUAAUCAAAAGCACUAGGAUCAAGUGAAAUGCUUUAUUUAUUUUGGUUGGUAUAUAUUGUGUAUUACUCUUGUUAAUAUGAGUUAUUAAAAUUUUGUACAGAAAUGGAGAUGGACAAAAAGGAUUAGAUUGUCAUUUUCCCGUUUGUUUCAUAAAAAUGAUAAGCAAUGGAGGUAUGAGAAUAUUGGAAUACAAGGCUGCAAAGGAGCAAAAAAGAGAACAACUAAUUUUUGUGUAAGUCUUGCUAUUAUUAUUUUCUAUAGUAAUAAAAAUUAUGUGUAUUUUGGAAGGGGAAAAAAUCAUAUUGUUGGUCGGUGCAAAGAAUUUAAACUUCGACUAAUUUAUGUCCUUUUUGUUGUGUUAUACAGAAUAAAUUGAAGGGCUUCUUCAAGGACAUUUUAGGUGUCUGGCAAUUUUGUAAGCAAUCGUAAAUUUUAGAAAUGACAAAAUUAGUUCAUGAAAACAUGAUUCAUUCAUAACGGAUUAAUAAUUUGCUCACUUUGAGAUGUUCAAAUUUUAUCCAAUUCGCCUAUUUUACAUCACCAAUCGUGAUGAUCUAGUAUUCUUCCGUUUAAUUGAAUUUUUGAAAGUUUCUAAUUGAAGUAAAUUUGAUUUUCCUGUGCAAGAUAUUUCAAAUUCAUUUUCAGCUAUACACAUAGUUUUUGACUUUUGUUGCUCGCACUCUUUAAAAGUUUCAACGGAUGUACGUCGGGUUAUCCAAAAGUAAUUACUUUUUGAGAAUCCGAAACCAGAAGAUCAUAGUUAAAUGUUUGUGAACUAUGGUCCACAAAAUAUGGUUAGUUUGAUUAUCAGAUUUGAGAAAUGCUCCUAAAUGAAGUAGUAGAUAUACUUUUGCUUACUGUUAAACAACUACUUUCAUCAUCAACAAUCAAUUUUAAAAGAGUUAAUUACUCCAAACACUUCUAUAUUACUAAGAAAAUCCAAAAAUUAGGAAAUCAUCAAUCAGAUAACAGUAUUUUUAUUUUUUUUAAUAUAGCACCAUGCGAUAAAAUAUUUUUAAUGUGCAUGCGUGCUUAAAAGAACAUCAAUUUGAAACCUCUCUGGAAAAAAAAAAAUCUUACAUAGAUAAUUAUAAACCGAAUAAAAAGAGUCUAAAGGUAAAAAUGCCUUUUCCUUGCUCCUUUUCAUUGCCGAGAUACUGAUGUUAUGUUUUUGAAUUGAAAUAUAUGUACGGAAGCAUAGGAGGACCCACUCUCUAGGUGAUGUGCACGUACACCCGUUAACUUCGAAAAAGAUCAUGUAUAUAUAUAUAUAUAUUUAUAUGUAUAUCUAUCUUGAGACACUGACAGAAAUUAGGAUAUAACUAACAAUGCAUAUAUGAAAAGUAUAGGAGUGUCAUUGUGAUGUUAGUAGGGGUGUACAUGAUCGGGUUGGUUCGGGUUUUUCAAAUAUCAAACCAAACCAUUUGUGUCAAAUUUUUAAACCAAACCAAACUAAUAAAAUUUGAUUUUUUCAGGUUUUUCAACUUCGGGUUGGUUCGGGUUUUUCAAAUACCAAACCAAACCAUUGUGUCGAAUUUUUAAAUUUAUAAAUCAAACCAAACUAAUAAACCUCGAACUUUUUCAGAUUUUUUUAUUUUUUCGGUAAAGUUUGCAUACAAACAUAUAAUUAACUCGUGCUCCAAAUAUUUUUUUAGUCCAACCAAAAUACAAUUAUCUAAGGUGUUUCUUAAACAAAUAACACAAAAUAUGAGAUAAGUACUGAUGAUACAAAAAUAUUUAAUAAAAAAUAAUAAUGAAAUCAUCAUAUAAAAUAAAUAUUGCAAAGUCAUAAUGAAAAUGAUCAUAAUUUAAAAGUACUAAAUCAUGCUAAAAUAAGUUUAAUAAGUAUUAGUUACAUUAUUAAAUAUGAAAAUUAAAAUUAGAUUAUGUAUUUUAAUUGUCUAAACUAAUGUAAAACUAAAGAACAAAUAUUAAAUAUUAUUGUCGGUCUUAGUGUUGAAUUGAUUUUCUUUUUGCAUUAGUAUUAAUUUGAUUUUGAUUUAAGUUUUAUUAUAAUUAUCAACAUCUAUGAACUAUAAUAUUUAUUGGACCAUUCCAAAUUCUAAGUUUUAAACUUAAAAUAAUAUAUUAAAAGAUAAAAACUAUGAAAUAGUAUAAGAAAUAUUUUUAAAAUUAUAUCAAAGUAAAUAUCUUUAUGUAUAAAAUAAAAUUUUAAAAUUACUAUAUAAUGUCAGGUUGGUUUGGUCUCGGGUUGUUUUUUUUUAAUUAAAAUCAAACCAACCCAAAUAUAGUCGGGUUUUUUUUUUCCAAUACCAAACCAAGUCAAACCAAACCACUAGUCGUGUUUUUUUUCGGUUUGACUCGGUUUUCGAUUCGAUUUUGUACACCCCUAGAUGCUAGUACAAGCUAGAGGAUCCACCCGCAAGACCUAGGUUUGAAUCCAGCUAGAGUGUUUAUUUCAUUAUUUUUAUUUUAAGUUUAUCUUAGAGCUCACAUUUGAGCUAAGGUAAUAUUGGUGCACCCAAAGUCUUCAAAUUCUGGGUUCACAUAUCACUUACGUUAUGCGGUGCUUUUAUUUGUGAAUUUUGGAUGAUAUGUAUUUUUGUAUACCAGGGCAGUAACUUCUUUUCGAUUUGGUAUAACUCAACUAUUAUCACAGUCCAUCAGUUAAUCAUCGACCUAUUUUUCAGUUCAUUCCUCUCUUUCAUUUUCAAUUUGUAUGUAUAUAUAAUUGAAUUCCAUGUUCUAUAACACAUAACCUCCUUUUUUUGCAGUAACCAUAAAAGAAAAGUAAAUUCAUCAGUAUGAGACAAUAAGAUUUGUUUGCAUAUAAAUCAUAGUUUUACCCCAUGAAUCCUAGAGCAAAUAGCAACUAUAGUACGUAUAUAUAUCAUCUAUAUAGUUAAAAAGAAAGGAUAAACGGUACAAUAAGGUAUUUGCAUCUAAUUCAUUUGUAUGUGUAUAUCGUAUCAAUUGAUCAUCAAAAGCAACUACAUUCCGAUAAUGUUAUAGGUGUGUUCGUAUGAAGGAAAACAUUUUCUUGAAAUAUAUACUCUUAUUUAUUGAUAUUUGGUAACUAAGCAAAACAUUGUUUGUCCUAAAAACAUUUAUAUAUAGAUAAAAGAACACUAUGGACAAGGGUGUGGUAGGCAGUGAGGUCGUCAUGGGUGGCGGGAGGAAGACAAAUCUUAGAAUAUAAAGUUAACUUAUAGUGAGAGUCUUUUUUCUCAAACCGAUGACUCACAUGUUCAGUAAUGCUAACUAUUAUAAAAGAAUGCCACCCCUCAAAUCUAUCAGUUGUUGAAUCUCGUACAAGUUAAGUUGCAUUGACUGCAAGCGAAACAUGAACACUUUAAGUAUACAUUGAUCAUGCCUUCUCACUUUGUGUAUAUUGUCGUAUAUAUUAUAGUAGUAGUGUGGUGAUUGACCUCAAUACUAAUGGUGAUCUCAAAGUUAAACAAAUGAAUGAAGCCAUGAUCGUAUUGGAAUAGAAGCACAAAGCAGUCAAUAGCAAUUGAUUCCCAUCUAUCAAUAGAUCGCAAGUUAACUUUCAAACUCAAACCACUUGAAAUUGAAUUGCUGCUUCUUCUUUUUCUCGUCAUUGAUAGAGUGGUAUUCUCCACGUUAACCCUUAUGAAAAAGGGACAAUCCUAUCAAACAUAAGAAGAAGAAUCACGUAGGCAUUGCAAGCCGGUAAAAAACACAAGGACCGAUACUCUCAAAUAAGCUUAUUACACGAAUCAUCCAACGCGCAAACCAAAGGCAAUACAAGAAGUACUAGUUCAUAGUUAAUAAAAUUAACCCCAUGCACAAAUGUUGCAACCUUCUUUUCCUCAAGGAUAUGAAUAUAUCCAAUGAGAGAAAAAAUCUUUAAUAUUACCUGAGUUAUGAAACUAUUGCCUAGUUCAUGAAAUUAAAGUACCUAGGAGCAAGGAGGAGGGUUGAAUUUACUUUACUAUGCAAUCAGGUUCCUAUUUACAGGCAACUACAGGAACUCCAAAUUGCUGUAAGCAGUGCCAUCAAUCCUCGCAGUAACCAGGGUUAGGAUCUGCAACAUGGAUGUCUCACAUAUUUUUCUGGGUUAGGACGAAGAAAAUCAUAGUCAAACAAACAUGUCUCAGCAUCCCAACCACUCUUGAAAACCUUUUUUCCUGAUAAAUCACCGAAUUCUGCUACUUGCUCGAUGUCGUUGCCGCCUCCUUGAUCUUCCCAAUAAGAGCCUACUGUGAAGUCGAGAGAUUCUGUUGAAAACAUUAGAUGCAGCCUCAGUGCCAGAAUGAUGGACAAAAAAAUCAUCCUGAUCAAAUGAAUGAUACCGAUCAUCGAAAAGUUCAUCUGGGUGGACAUUAUCAUUCCACAGAUCACUAAGAGGGUCUGACCUUAAAACAGUCUCAUCGAGAUGGUUAUCCAAUCCAAAAUUCCUGUGGAGCCCUCCAAAAUUACCAUCUAUUACAUAAUCUCCCAUUACAAUUGCCCCAGGCAUGGCAGACCUGAUUGUGCUAAACACAUCGUUCAACUCUCUCUCAUGCUCAAGCUUCUUCCAUUUCUCUGCAAGUGAAGGGUCUACUUCUAGGGGGCGUGCUGAAGGAUGCUCCCGCCUUACAUGUUUCCUUAGCUUUUUGUACGUUCCAACAAACGAGCAAUUUUCAUGCAUGCAUGUUCUCUUCUUUGCAUUUAGAUGCUUGCGUGCAGGUUCCACAACCGUCCAACCCUUUACCUGCCCACGACAGAGUGGGCAUAUAAGUACAGUUGCCCCAGCUAAACAACCUGCUCCUGACGAGCAAUAAGGAUCAUCAGUUGACAGCAACCCUGGUUCAGAGCCCUCAAUUGAAGUGACUUUAGUAUACGCUUUCUUGUACUGCUCAAGACAAUUUGAGAAACGGCAGCUAGUGGCACACAUAUAAGGACGACAUCCCUUGUCAUAAGAUGAGCACAGCAGCAGCACUGCAUUGUGAGGGUGCUCCAUACAAACUGAGCAAGUUGCCCCUUCCCAUUCUUUCUUCUCUGAUGAUUUUGGCCGUUUCUCCUUUUGGUGAAGCUUUUUGCACAUUCUUGAGCGGCAAGACGGCAAAUCAUGGUGAUGGAAAUCAGCUAUCCGUCGCACCUUGCUUGGUUUUGUCAUUUCUGGUAAAGAAGACACAGUCCCCACCCGCAAAAUAAAGGGAACAAAGAAACCAAUGGGAUAGGGUGGGGGAGGGGAAGAGGUUAGUAAACCAGAUUUUUGCUAAACAAGCAAAGCUUAAACUAUUAAAACAAUAACAGGAAAGAAGGAAAAGAUAUCAUGCAAGGUUUCAAAUGUUUCUCAAACUCUACAUUUAGAACUUGAGCGCAUUCAGAUAUGUUGCUAACACAGAUGAAUUUGCUGUCUUGAUGGAAGAAAGCUAGAGGAUAAAAGAUGUCUUAAAUCACCAAAACCUGUUUAGUGCACACAAUGCUGAUCCGCAUAACAUGAGAACUAAAUUAUUAACAAUUUUAGGAAGUAGAGCAGGUAAAUAUACACCAGUUAAAUGCACAUGUAAUGAAGCAUCUCAACCACACAAGAAGAGUGCUCCAUGAAAAGCCAACCCCCAGCACAUGCUUUUCUUUUUGUUAUUGAUAAGCAUGGUGUCCAGGCCAGUUUGCAUGCAGUACGCACUUAGAACAAUUCCACGGGAUACCGCCACCUCUAACCAGUAACAGAUAUAAGGUAACUUUGACCACAAGGCUAGAACCAAUGGGAAGAAUUCACCUCCAACACAUACUGGUGCUUCAAAAUAGAUUCCAGUGGACCAUAAAGUUUAUGCCUUUUACAGGUGCAUUCGUUAAUUCACCAACUAUUCACGCCGACUUUUCGUUAAAAAUCACAAAGGUACCAGAACUAAAAGUUAGAGCCUCUCUAUUUAUAUCAUCAAUAAAUUUAAAAUAGCAUACAACACUCAAUCAUAGGUAAAACAUUUAAAGUGAAAAGAAUGGGAACAAUAACAUAAAUUCAAAUUAACCAACUUCACAAAAUGAAAAAGAAAAAAGAUAUGAAGAAAAGGAAGGAAAAGAAUUGUAGUUAGCUAAUUUAGAUAACAAAAUAGGCAUCGUCUUCUAUAUCAAUUGUCAAUGCCAUGAUUUUGGUAUAGGAUUGAGAGAACAACUACAGGCUAACGUGACUGAAAAAGUUUAUCUUUACUCCCUUCAACUCGAUUUAUGUGAUGGUGCUUGACUGGGCACAUAGUUUAAGAAGGAAAGAAAAGACAUUGGGACUUGUCUGGUCUAAAAUAAACCAUAGAUAUUUAAGUGGCUAUAAAUCAUCUCAUUAAGGGUAAAAUGGGUAUUUUAAAGUCAAAUUGUUACUAAUUAUAGAAAGGUGACAUUCUUUUUGGGAUUAACUACAAAAGAAAAUAGUGUCAUGUAAAAUUAAGCCGGAAAGAGAAAAGGAUGGUGUUUGGGACAACUUGUGUACACCUCAAUUAUUCCACCAAAUACAUGCUACCUUCGACAAGUACAGCCACCGGAUACCGGAUAACUCUGUCUAACAAAGCUUAGGAAGAUGGAAAUUAAACCCCGAGCUCCACUUAUAUUAAUCACUAGGCCACACUAUUAGUUGCUAGAUUAAAAAAAAAUGUUUUUUAAAACAAAAUUGGCAAGAGCUAAAUAGGCAUUGCCUCUCUAUAAACUCCCCUGCCAAUGACAUGAUUUUGAAAUAGGAUUGAGAGAAUGUCAAUAGGCUAACGUCACAGGGAGUUUAAUUGCACAAAAUUACUGACCAAAAAAGUUUUAUUUAUAAAGACAGUGUUUAGGCCAACUUGUGUACACCUCGAUUAUUCCAACAAAUACCUGCUACCUUCCACCAAUAAAGUACCGGGAAACUCUAUCUAAUAUAACAUAAGCUCUCUACUGAAAACUGAAUCAUGAUCUCCAAGAGUUUCACCCUCUUUAUAAACCACUAGGUCAGACCCUUGAGUGCCUAGUAAAAGAGUCCCUUUUUAACACAAAAUUGGAGAGAGAACAGUGUUGCCACCCUAUCUUAAUGAACAUAUGUCAAUGCAAAUUGUAAGCAAAUUGAGCGUUUUAAUAUAUAGUUUUAAAAUCUUAUAUAUCUUUUUAAUAUCAGGAUAUUUUAUAGAUAAGAAAUACGAUUCUUUUACAUUUGAACCACAUCCUUUAACAUAGGAGCAGGGUGAUACCAAAUCCCCCACCCCACAAAAACAUUUCAAAUUUUCAUCAAGCCGACGACAACAAUUUUAUAACCAUACCCUCUACCAUCUGAGAGAGCUAAGUUUAAAUUAUGUACUCCCUUUGUCCCAAUUUUGUGGCAGCCUGUGGAUUUUGAGAAUCAAUUUUUUUAAUUUUAACCGUGAAUGCAAAAAUUAAAUCUUGAUUUUUUAUUGGAAUAAAAUUUACAAAUUUGAAACUAUGUAAAAUGUAUUAUAAGUCACGGUAAUUGACAAUUUAAAAAAUUUGCAAGCCAUUUGAAAAAUAUUUAGUCAAAAAAAAAACUUGUUUGACUUUCAAACCCAAAAUGUGCCACAUAAAUUGGGAUGGAGGAAGUAUAAAAGAUGAGCAACAUAAUCAGCUAGAUAGCCUAGGUUGUUUAACUUGUAAAAGAACAUUAAAGAUCAAAAUCUCUCUCAAUAUCCCAACUUUUGGCACUUUGCAACCCAAAUAUAUGAAAACAACAGUAAUUGUGCCUGAUCAAAACUCAAAUAUGAGCAGCAAGGUCAUUCAAAACUAGGAGAAUAUUGAUCCUCCAAAUUGUGUUCAGGGAUCUUCAUCCUCUAACUAUGUUUUUAACAAUUUAUACAAGAUAUCCACAACAAACUGAACAGAACAAUAGAACAUAAUAGCUCAAUUGUAACAGUUAAUAGCAUCAUCAUCACUUCAAACAAGUACUUAUGUCCCAAACUCGCCCUUUCGAACAGGAUUCCCAUUUAUCCUCUUUUCAAUUAAAGAGAACUAAUAAGAUAUUUUCAAACAGAUUAACCAUUGCAAUACAUAGAAAAACAAGCCAGAAGGUCCUAUUUAAAAACAUCCAAACAAGAAAAGUGACCAAUUUUCCGAUUCCAACUAUUAAGUAACACUCUCAGGUAAUGUUAUCCAUAACAAGCCUUUUUGCUAACUUCACAUUACCUUGAGAGAGUUUUAGAAUAUGUUAGGUAAAUAAAUGCAUAGUAUAGAGACAAAAAAACAACACAACCUAUAAACACUACCAAAACUUAAUCAAUAAGCAAUCUACUCAGAAACGAGAAAUAAAAAUCAAUCUGCUCCAUUUAAACACAAACAUUUACAUAACUAAAUCAAUUAAAGCAGGAAUCAACCAAUCGAAAUCCGGAAAACGGAUACUUAGUAACAAAAACAGAUCAGAUCUUGAACAAAUGUACCUGAAUACCGUAACGAAUCGAUUACAGGUUAGGUUUAUCUGCACUUUUGUAUAUAGACCCGAUUUGAAGAAGAAAAUUUGUAUGGAGGAGAGAGAAGGAAGGAGAGAGAAAGUGUGUAUGCCCUACUCUCCUCGCUCCUCUAAUCUUUCCGGAAGAUUUGAGGGUUUGCGUCCAACAAUUGCUUUCUCUCUCCAGUUUUCGCUACUUUCUGCUGUGGGCUUACACUAUAUCUGUGCAAUUUACAGUGACGGGUCGGGUUGCUUCCUGUUUUAGGGCAGAAAAAUACAUAAAUGAGUUUUAAAAUUUAAUAUUUUUAAUCAGCAUUAAAUAUUUAUCGAAUUUAUAGUUUAGAUUUGGCGAGAAUAUAAGAAAAAAAAGAUUUCCACCUGAAAUAAAGUUCUAAUAUAUCCUAAGAUAUACAAUCAUAAAAAGAAAUUAUACCUUAAAAAACUAUACCUCCAAAUGUCAAUUUCUCCAAAAUUUCUUUUCUUUCGUAAAUAUUGACGGAGAUUAAAAAUAAUAACUUCUGAUAAAUUUACUUAAAGGAUCAAAUUAUUUGGUGCCUACUCAAGAAAUAUUUUAAACCUGAGUAUAAAGAAUAACUUUUGUUAUUUUCUCUAACUUAGGGAUUCCCUUGGAUGUAAAUGCAACAUCAACAUAGUGGAGUCAUAUUUAACACAUUGUGACGCCAUUAUUUCAUCGUGGUGACUUUUUCACUGAGGAAUAUGUACCUCUAUUAUAUUAAUUAAUAAAUUUAGAAAUUAUCGUAAUUUAAUUAAAGUAUAUUUACUAAAAUAUGAUUUUAUAUUAUUGUCAGUGAUGUUAAAAUGUCCCCAUUAAAAUGUCAGAUUUUGAACCUGAUAGCACUUACAAUUCAGACCCAAUAUCACUAUUAACUAGUUCAAAUUUUAGUAGUUAAUAAUGCUUCCAUAGUAAUAUUAUUUGUAAAAUAGUGUAUACUUGAGAAAGCUAAAAUAAAAAUGAAUCAUUUUCAUUCUAUCUAAAUAAUAUAUAGCAGAACCAAAACUAUUGUUUUUUUUAAUAAAAAAAAGUUGCAAUCUUUCAAAAAUCAACGCAUCUUAAAUCUGUUUAGACAAUGAACUCUAUAUUCUUGAGCGCAUUUCCCCAAAUUAUUAGAUCUUCAACAUGUUUAUACCCUUCGUUGGCACAUUAGUUUAUCUCUCUCCCCGGAUAUGAUUGAUAAAGGAGCAGAUACCGUAUACCAAUAUAAUUCUUUUUCAAAUUUUCAAAGCUAGCGUAUUAUCUAAUAAACUUACUUUUGUUAUGUCCAUUAUCCCUGAAAAACGAACAAAUUCUCCAAAAAGUUUAUAAAAUUUAAAGGCAUUUGAUGCUUCUGAACCAAUUCAAAAAGAUUCCCCAAAGAAAUCAUUCUUGUACUGUAAUACUUUUGGACGGCUUCCUCGAUUUUUAACUGGUAAAGUGAUUUAAAACUAAUUUCAUUUUCUUAAAAACCUGUUAGUAUAUUCUUUCUCCAAACAUCUAUACGACAUACUAUCCUAUUAAACCCAUACUAGUUGAAGUAAUCUGUUAUUUAUCAAACAAAUUGGAGUUUUUUUUAAAAAAAAAUGUGAGUAAUUUAGAGUGAAUUCUUUUUUGAUGUUUUUCAAAAACCUGAAUAUUCCAAAAUUCUGAAUUUUUCAAAAAUUUUUAUAGUCAAACGUGUUUUUCAGAGUUAAACACCCUCUUUAUUCACAUGAUAUCAGAACUAGACUCUUCUUUGUUCUUGGUUUAUCUAAGGUGAAUCUCCAUAUUAUUGUUCAUGCUCCAAAUGUUCAUAAAUCUUUCUUCAUAUCAACCAGGCUUAACCUCACUUCUAACUUACCGAAUCUCGAUCCCCCAAGUUAUAUGGUCACGCUCCAGAUAUCCAACUCUAGACAUGCAAGAUUGUUGUUGUUCCACAGUAGUUGACAUGUGUUCACUUCUAUCAACUAGCUUUUGAGGUUGAGUCAAAGACAAAAUACGCACUUUCCUCAUGGAGGCAGAGUUUUUAAUUUGAUCAAGUACCUUUUUCUUUUCCUUUAAACGUGAAUCAAAAUCCCAAAGUUGAUUUCUUUUUUCGUUAUUCCAUUUUAUCAAUUUGCAGAGAGGGAAAUAUAACUAGUUAGGCGUAUGACUAGUCCCACAUCGGUGUGGCAACAUAUUUGUCUGUUGUUUAUUAAGUGAACAACUACGGUUUAAGGACACGACCCUACUUGAACAGGAUCUGUUCUAUAGACUCGUACCACUUCUAAGGAGACAGGAAAUCAAGUAUGGUUGAUGAAGCGUGGCCAUGUGACCAGAUGGUCUCCUGGCUGUCUGACAGACUCCUCAAACUUUUUGUUUGUUCCUCUUUCGUUUUCCGAAUACUAGCUUUCUAUUUCAACACUGUUUGCUUCCAUUUUCAGCUACUCUUUGAUGAUACUUUCUGACUGCAAUUUAGAGUUCUUGGUCCCAAAAAGAAAAAUAAAGUCUUCGUUGAGUAAGAAGGCUAGUAGCUAGAAAGCGACUUAAGAAUGGUUCUUCAAGCUAUUCGACUUACAUAAACUCAAGGUUGUGAUUCAAGCGCAGAAAGAGAGGAGAAGCUCACUGAACUUUAAUGGUUGAUAAAUAAUAUGAUUGUAUUGUAGUAUUAGAAGACAAGAUAGUCAUUGAGUUGUUUACUUACAUAGUAUUAGAGCUGCUAGGAAGCUUAUCGUUUGGUAGAGUGUAUAAAAAUAAUGUUAAAUUGAGUGUAUUAGUAAUGCUUGCAUUAGUUAUACAUAGAUUAUUUUUAAGCAUUGUUUGGUUUGAUUCAUUAAAAAUAGAAUGCAUUGCAUUAAAAAUAAUAAUUUACAAAAAUACCCUUCACUAAUAUGGUGGAAAAGAUACAAAAAAGGUAUUAAGGGGCAAUUGAGUUAAUGCAUGCAUUAAAACCAUUGCAUUGUUAAUACCUAGAAAUCCAUGGUAUUAGCAAUACACACCUUAAUACACAAUAGGGUGUAUAACUAAUGCUUGCAUUAGUUAUACAUAGGCUGGAAAAGAGCAUCAAACAAGGCAUACACAAGGCUAAUGCAUGCAUUAGUUUUUUUAAUACACUCUACCAAACGAGAGUAUUACAGUUAAUGUAAUGGUAUUUUCCACCUGAAAGGCUGACUUGAAUUAAUCCAAACUGGAUGUCUGGCACGAUCCAACUGUUGAAUGUAUGUAAAUUGAACAAUAGUAAUAUACAGAAGUAACAAUCUUUGUAUAGCUAUCACUUGUGUUAUUGCUGACAAAGAAGGGCAGCACCUACGAAACUUUAUGAUCAAAUAAGCUUUGCUUUGCACUUGGCAUAUCACACCCUGUUACUGAUGCAAACAAUCUGUACACAUGCCUAACUUGUAGAUAAAAUAUAAUAGGAGAAUAACCGAGUUCCUGAUAGUCAAGGAUCCUUACAAAAACAUGUGAGCCAAAAAGUGGAUCAUGGCAUAUGAAUCCUCAACAUUUUACAGACAAUACUGGGAAAAACAACCCCCUUCUUCAGAAUGUAUUAGAAUAAUAAAAUACACACAGGAGUGAAGCACUAAUACGCAACCCACACAUCUUCAUCCUUACAGCUUCAAAGCUGCAACCUUAUCUAAAAACCAAACUAAUUCUCCUUCGGGUGAAACCAUCUGCACAGGCAGCAAAUCAGAACUUAUAUCAUCACCUAGUGAUUUAUACACUACAUCUGCCUUCCCAGCACCUACUAUAGCAAGUGCAAUAUUUGCAGAUGAGUUUAUUACAGGGAAUGUAAAUGUAAUCCUGUUCGGUGGAGGUUUUGGAGAGUCUUUGAUGAAGGUGACCCACUUCUCUUUCUCAUGGACAAGAGGAUGCCCGGGAAACAAGGAAGCUACAUGUCCGUCUGGACCCAUACCCAAUAGCAUUACAUCAAAUUUUGGAAAUACACUCUCUUUAGAGAUGUCAAGAAUCUUGCUCUUAAUUAAGUGCCUUAGACAAGUCUCGUAAUCAUCUGCCGCAGCCUCUGCUGAUAAUGCAUCAUUUAUGGCAUACACAUGACCAGCAGGAAUAGGUAUCUGCCAAAGAGAAGUAAAGGUGAGGUUAGAAGUUUGGUAGAAAGAAUUAAAGAUGUCAACUGAGAAUAAUGAUGAAGUAAGAGUUAUCAUCAUUCAUAAUAAGAUCAAACAAUGUAGGCAGUUCACAUGUGAAGCAAGUACUAUGAGCAAUUUGAAAUCCAAAAAGAUGCCCUUGGCAGUUAUGCAUCACUAAACAUCUUUUCUGAUACAAAUUGGAUAAUUUAGUUCACAACCAUCUUUAUUUAAAUACUAUGUGCUUAAGAGCUAGUCAGACUGCCAAAAAAGAAUUAAGAUGUCAAGGCAACCCAACUUGUUAGAGAUAACAAAGAGCCUUUAACUGAAAGUAAGUAGGUCAACAUUGAGGGUGCAAUUCAAACCCACUUAUUCAUCCUUAUAUUAGAAGAAAUUCAACAAAGUCAACAUAAAGUGUCCAAUUGAUCUUAUCGGCAGCUCCACAUGGUAUUGAGUUGGGCAAUCUUUGCUCUUUAAGUUUCCCAACAUGCAUAAUUGACAAUUGUGCUUAAGCUAUAAUUACUUUUCAGUUGAUCCUCCCUCAACCCCACUAAACUCUUCUAGCUACAAAAAUCUCCAAAUCAUUUCUCAUUAAGUAAUCUCUACCAUUGUAAAUGUUUGAAAAAAGGGACCUCAGUUGUUGUUUAAGGAGGGCUUCAGGGGUUGACAGGUUCUAUAAGAAGUAAUUUUGUAUCAGAAUUUUGUGAAUCAAUGUUUUCUAAAAAAAAGUGAAUUUGAACCUGUUUAUUCCAAUACAGUGCAAGAUUUCUUUUAAUUUGUUGCUUUUACAUGAAUUACGCAACAUCAUCACAUAUCUUAAGAAAAUGUAAUCUAAAACUUAUUUAACAUACAGCUUCUCCACACAGUUGGUUCCAUGAUAGAUAUGAUCAUGUAUACCAAUAGCUUGUCUUUGUCACAUAUCACCAAACCACCCCCCCCCCCCCCGAAAAUAAAUAUAUAUAUUUAUAUAUAUAUAUAUAUAAGUAGAGAUUGUUUCUUCCAUCCAUAUAGGUAGAGAUAGUUUAUUAUUUGAUCUAUUGAACAGAGAGUGCACAAAAUGUGUUAAAGAUAAGAAAUCUAAUGUGAAUUACAUAUUAACAGGGAACAUCAUAUCAUUUUAGUUCUCACUAAUACAUUAGCAGGCUUAUCUUACUCAACUUCUUAAUCUAUGGGACUGCAGAAAAAGACAUGUUUAUAGUAUGCAUGACUUGCAUUCCUUGUUACCGCUGGCCUAACGCCCUCACAUAAUUACUUUCUCAACUGAUUUUCCCAAAUAUUUCAUCUGGAGUUGAUGAAUGAGAAUCUAAAUAACUCUAGAUGUAUUCUCCAUCAAUACUGUGCACUUUAAUCUCUGUUCACAUUUCCCCCCCUAAAACUUAUUUCUUAAGGAGAUUGAGACCAUCAGCAUAGCUCGUAACUAGAAAAAAAAUAACUUUUUUUAUAACCUGGUGUCGGGGAGCCUCUACUAAUACUUUGGGGUAUCUGAUUGAACAGAUGAGAAGAAAUCACUAGUGCAAUAAACCUACUGCGUCCCACAUUUUGACCGGGCAAACAAGCAAAAGAUCACAAAAGUUGGGGGAAAAAUAACAAAUAAACAGAGGAGAGGUGAAAUAUAAUGGGUAGAAAGCUAAUGAAGAAACUACAAAGUACACACUGUGGCAGCACUACAUAAAAUCAAUAUAUUGUAGGAAGAGCAGCAAAUAUACCUUGGAUAGAAAACCAUCAUAAGUAAGCAAAUAAUUGCUGUCAGGAUGAUCCCUUGGAACCACUCUCUCAUCCACCCAGAAAACGUGCCAUUUGGACCAGUCUAUUGAAUCAAAAUAUGGUGGCUCCACCAAUUUCCUGCAACAAACAACAGCAACCCAAAAAAAAUCCCCAAAAUGAUACUUCCUAGUAGAAACGAAGAGAAUUAAUCAAUCAUUACCUGAGAGACUUGACAAGUGAACCACCGGAAACAACCACAGUAAAAGCAUCUCUCUCCUUACAAAAUUUCUCCGAUAAAUCCGCAGAGUACUUCGCUAGAGCCACAGCAAGUUCCUCCUCGGAAUCGUACACUUUCACUUCCGCUUUACUUUUCCCGGUCAUUUUCUCAGCCAUUGAUGAUUUUGUUCUGAACUGAGAUCUCGAAGAAUUUGUACUCAACACUGAGUUUCUCCGAUGCAGGUGGGAGCAGAAAAGUGGCUUUCCAGCAACGGACGGAGAGGUCAACGGAAGAGUUCGUCGGAGAGGAGAGAAUCGGGUAGGUGAGAUGUGCAAGUUAGCAGAGAGAGCGGGAGGAGAGGAAGCUAAGUUCAGUGCGCACUCUGCCAUGUUAAAUAAGAAUGAAGAGACUUGUCCAUCGGCCUUGCGUCCAACAAUUGCUUUCUCUCUCCAGUUUUCGCUGCCUUCUGCUGUGGGCUUACACUAUUAUAUAUCUGUGCAAUAUACAGUGAUUUCAUCUUCCUGUUUUAGGGCAGAAAAAUACAUAAAUGAGUUUUAAAAUUUACUCCUUUUUAAUCAACAUUGAACAUUUAUCGAAUUUAUAUGUUAGAUUUGACGAGAAUAAAAGAAAAAAAAAAGAUUUCCACCUGAAAUACUAAGAAAGUUCUAUUAUAUUCUAAAAUAUACAAUCACAAAAAAAAAUUAUACUACACACUAAUAUAAGAUUCAAAGAUUAGUCGAAAUUAUAUCUUAAAAAACUAUACCAGACUUUAGAAAUAAAACAGAAAUAGUAACUAUAAGAAUUAUACCUGCAAGGCUCCAAAUGUGAGUUUCUCCUAAUUUUCUUUUUCUUCAAAUCUAAGUAUCUAGCCCAUGGGAUUUGGUAAAUAUUGACAGAGAUUAAAAAUGGGAUAGGGUGGGGUAGGGAAAGAGGUUAGUAAAUCAGAUUUUUUCUAAACAAGCAAAGCUUAAACUAUUAAAACAAUAAUUGGAAAGAAGGAAAAAGAUAUCAUGCAAGGUUUCAAAUGUUUCUCAAACUCUACAGUUAAAACUUGCGCGCAUUCAGAUAUGUUGUUGUUAAAACAGAUAAAUUUGCUGCCUUUGAUGAAAGAAAUCUAGAGGAUAAAGAUAACUUAAAUCACCAAAACCUGUUUAGUGCACACAAUGCUGAUCCACAUAACAUGAGAACUAAAUUAUUAACAACUAUAGGAAGUAGAGGAGGUAUAUAUACUGCAGUUAAAUGCACAUGUAAUGAAUCAUCUCAACCACACAAAAAAGAUUGCUCCAUGGAAAGCCAACCUCCAACACAUGCUUUUCUUUUCGUUAUUGAUAAUCGUGGUGUCCGGGCCAGUUUGUACCAUCACCUCUAACACAUACUGGGUGGUUCAAAACAGAUUCCACUGGACCAUAAAGUUUAUGUCUUUAUAGGUGCAAUCGUUUAUUUGACAACAAUUCAUGCCGACUUUUUGUUGAAAAUCACGAAGGUACCAGAACUAAAUGUUAGAGCCUCUCUAUUUUUUAUUUUUUAUUUUAAAAUAGCUUACAACACUCAAUCAUAGGUAAAACAUUCAAACAUAGGUAAAACAUUUAAAGUGAAAAGAAUGGGACCAAAAACAUACUUCAUAAAAAAAUGGGAACAAUAACAUAUAUUCAAGUUAACCAACUUUGCAAAAAGAAAAAGAAAAUAGAUAUGAAAAAAGGAACGAAAAGAAUUGUAGUGAGCUAAUUUAGAUAGCAUAAUAGGCAUUGUCUUCUAAAUCAAUGGUCAAUGACAUGAUUUUGGUAUAGGAUUGAGAGAACUGCAGGCUAACAUGAAAAAGUUAAUCUUUACUCCCUCCAACUCGAUUUAUGUGAUGGUGCUUGCCUGGGCACAUAAUUUGAGAAGGAAAGAAAAGACUUUGGAACUUGUCAAGUCUAAAAUAAACCAUAGAUAUUUGAGUGGCUAUAAAUCCUCUCAUUAAGGGUAAAAUGGACAUUUUAAAGUUAAAAUGUUACUAAAUAUAGAAAGGUGUCAUUCUUUUUGGGACUAACUAAAAAAGAAAAUAGUGUCAUAUAAAAUUAAGACAGAAAGAGUAAAAAAGAUGGUGUUUGGGCCAACUUGGUACACCUCAAUUAUUCCACCAACUACAUGCUACCUUCCACUAGUACAGACACCGGAUAACUCUGUCUAACAAAGCUUAGGCAGAUGGAAAUAAAACCCGAGCUCCACUUAUAUUAAUCACUAGGCCACACUAUCAGUUGCUAGAUAAAAAAAUGCUUUUUAAAACAAAAUUGGCAAGUGCUAAAUAGGCAUUGCCUCUCUAUAAACUACCCUGCCAAUGUCAUGAUAUUGAAAUAGGAUUGAGAGAAUGUCUAUAGGCUAACGUCAAAGAGAGUUUAAUUGCACAAAAUUACUGACAAAAAAAGUUUUAUUUAUAAAGAUUGUGUUUAGGCCAGCUUGUGUACGCCUCGAUUAUUCCAUCAAGUACCUGCUACCUUCCACCAACAAAGUACGGGAAACUCUAUCAAAUAAAACUUACGCUCUCUGCUGAAUAUUGAACCAUGAUCUCUAAGAGUUUCACACACUUCAUAAACCACUAGGUCAGACCCUUGAGUGCCUGAUAAAAAAGUGCUUUUUUAACACAAAAUUAGUGAGAGAACAUUGUUGCUACCCUAUCUUAAUGAACAUAUGUCAAUGCAAAUUGUAAGCAAAUUGAGAGUUUUAAUAUAUAGUUUUUAACUCUAUUAUACCUUUUUAUUAUCAGGAGAUUUUAUAGAUAUGAAAUACAAUUCUUUUACCCUUGAACUACCAUCCAUCUCUCCUCUUUUCAGUUAAGGAAAAUUAAUAAGACAUUUUCUAACAAAUUAACAAUUGCAAACCAUAGAUAAACUAGCCAGAAGGUCUUUUUAAUAAACUUCCAAACACGAAAAUGGACACAUCUUCCAAAUCCAACUAUUAAGUGAAACUCUUAGGUAAGGUUUUCCAUAACAAGUCUCUUUGCUAACUUCGCAUUGCCUUGAGAGAGUUUUACAAAAUGUUAUCUAAAUAAAUGCAUGAUAUAUAAAUGAAAACAACCCAACCUAUAAACACUACCAAAACUUAAUCAAUAUACAAUCUACUCAGCAACGAGAAAUAAAAAUCAAUAUGCUCCAUUUAAACACAAAUAUUUACAUAACUAAUCAAUUAAAGCAGGAAUCAACCAAUCGAAAUCCGGAAAACAGAUACUUAGUAACAAAAACAGAUCAGAUCUUGAAGAAAUGUACCUGAAUACCGUAACGAAUCGAUUAUAGGUUAGGUUUAUCAGCACUUGGAAGAAGAAGAAAAAUUGUAUAGAGGAGAGAGAAAGUGUGAAAUGCCUUACUCUCCUCGCUCCUCUAUAUCUGUGCAAUUUACAGUGAUUUCAUUUUACAGGUCGGGUUGCUUCCUGUUUUAGGGCAGAAAAAUACAUAAAUGAGUUUUAAAAUUUACUCCUUUUUAAUUAACAUUAAUUAUUUAUCGAAUUUAUAUGUUAGAUUUGACGAGAAUAAAAGGGAAAAAAAAAUUCCACCUGAAAUACUAAGAUAGUUCUAUUAUAUUCUAAAAUAUACAAUCACAAAAAAAAUUAUACUACACACUAAUAUAAGAUAAAAAGUUAAAAAACCAUACCAAACUUUAGAAAUAAAACAAAAAUAGUAACUAUAAGAAUUAUACCAGCAAGGCUUCAAACGUGGGACUCUCCUAAUUUUCUUUUUUUUCAAAUCUAAGUAUCUAACCCAUGGGAUUCAGUAAAUAUUGAUAGAAAUUAAAAAUAUUAACUUUUGAUAAAUUUAACUUGAAGGAUCAAAUUAGUUGGUACAUACUCGAAAAACUAUUUUAAGUCUGUCAUUAAAUGUAAAGAAUUAUUUCAGUUAUUUCCUCUAUUUAGGGAUUUUCUUGGAUGUAAAUGCAACAACAUCAACAUGGUGGAGUCAUAUUUAACAAAUUGUGACACCAUUAUUUCAUCGUGGUGACUUUUUCAUCAAGAAAUGUGUAACUCUAUUAUAUUAAUCAAUAAUUUGGAAAUUAUAGUAAUUUAAUCAAAGUAUAUUUAUUAAACGAUGAUUUUAUAUUAUUAUCAAUUUCAUACUGUUAAAAUUUCACAUUUUGAACCUGAUAGCACUUACAAUUCAAACUCAAUAUCACUAUUAACUAGUUCAAAUUUUAGUAGUUUAUAAUGCUUCAAUAGUAAUAUUAUUUUUAAAAUAGUGUAUACUUGAUAAACCUAAAAUAAAAAUGAAUCAUUUCCAUUCUAUCUAAAUAAUAAUAGCAUAACUAAAAUUAUUGUUUUUUUCGAAAAAAGAAGUUACAAUCUUUCAAAAAGCAACUCAUCUUAAAUCUGUUUGGACAAUGAACUCUAUAUUCUUGAGCGCAUUUCCCAAAUUAUUAGAUCUUCAACAUGUUUAUACCCUUCAUUUGUAGGAAAAUUGACACAUUAGUUUGUCUCUCUCCAGAUAUGAUUGAUAAAAGUAUCGUAUAUCAAAACAGUUCUUUUUCAAAUUUUCAAAGCACGCGUAUUAUAUAACAAACUUACAUUUGUAAGUCCAUUAUCCCAGAAAAAGGAACAAAUUCUCCAAAGAGUUUAUAAAGUUUAUAGGCAUUUGAUGCUUCUGUACCUGUUAUACUUUUGGACGUCUUUCUUUUAACUGGUAAUGUGAUUUAGAACUAAUUCAUUUCUUAGAACCAGUUACAUUCUUUCUUCAAACAUCUAUACAACAUACCCAUACUAGUUGAAGAAAUCUGUUAUUUGUCAUACAAAUUGGAGCCUUUUUUAAAAUUGUUAACUUUUUGAUGUUUGAAAAAAAAAAACCUGAAAAUUCCAAAAUUCUGAAUUUUUCAAAAUUUUAUAGUCAAACGUGUUUUUCAAAGUUAAACGCCCCCCUGAUUUUGUUCACAUGGUAUCAUGACCAGGUGAUGGUUUUAACCAAUAGAACAAGGGGGAUAUGUUUAUGGCACUAGGAGUGAUGAAGGAAAGGCUAUCCUAAAGAUAGUGACAGAUUUGACCAAGAUCCCAACUUAUUUGGGAUUGAGGCAUAGUUGUUGUUGUAAUUGUUCAAGUGACACAAAACAUAAGUAAAUUCUCUUCAACUGAUUGUGUGAAUUUAUAACUAAAACAGAUAUCAAUAAUUAGAUGGCAGAAUUUUUUGCUAUCUCAACUGAAACAAUGGCAGGAAUCAAGGUGCACAGGUAGCAUUUUGAAAUUCUAACACUACAGCUGAUCAAGUGACUAUCAUAAGUAAAAAUAGAUGACAAAGUAACCAUUGGAACGUACAACAAGAUUUCAAAGCCUCCUGCCUAGAUUGAGAGGUGAAGCUGACCCCGAGGAAGAGGGAAGCGUUUGUUUCACAAACGGAUGCUCCAAGAGCUGAGUAGCAGUUGGACGGGCACUUGGAUCCACUUGCAGACAGUGAUUAAUGAAAUUGCGUGCAUCUUCUGAAAGGGUAUUAGGCACAGCUGGAGGUACCCCCUUCCCAAUAUGAAACAGUACCUGCAUUGGCUGUUCUACAAAAUAUACAUGAUCACUCUUCAAAAAUAGUGAAUUUGCACACAUCAGCAUCUCCACAAAGAAGGUGUUCAAUCAAAGAAAUCUUUCUUAUCCCCCCACCCAACUCCCUCUUUUUUCAUUUUUAUAUAAACACGUUAAAGACAGUUGCACAAGGAUAACAUUUUCUAAGUUGACCAUAAUAAGAAAUAUAACGAAAGGAAACCUCAUAAACUAAUAUAGCAUUUGACAGGAGAACAGUUAUUGCUCAUGUAUUAUGAGGUAACUUCCAACUUACAGACUCUUAUUCCUCGUUCGAAAAUCCACACACACACACACACACCUUAAACAGUGGUCUUCCACUAAUCAAAUAUAACUUGCUAAAGAUCACUUAACAUAGCACAGUAACAUAAACAAACACAUUUCAUGUGAGAACAUAGAUCCCAAACAUCUACAGCUAAUGGUGCACACCUCCAAAAAAUUAUCCUCCUUACAAUAACUGGAAAAAGAGAAGACCAAAGUAAAUAGUAGGUCGAAGGCAUGCGUAAUUCCACAAUUCAAUAGCCAUUUCAUUUAGGUACAAAUACAAUUUGGUUUAGACAGCUUAAUUAAGUAUUGAUUUAUACUCUAUAUGUUUCAACAGAUCAUUCCAAUCAUCAUUUCUGGAAUAGGCCUUGUGCACAUCAUCCAAUCAAAGUGAAUAACCAGGUAUCAAAUUUCAAAAAUAAUAAGUAAUAAGUAAUAUUUAGCAUGAAUUAGCCCACCAGAUUAAGGGAUAGUGUAUUAGACCCUCAGCCUCAUGUGGCAAAAUGAAUACCAUUUCAGCAAUAACAGUUGUCUAGAUUUUACCAAUAACAAGUACCACAACAAGCUAUUUCAGGAGGAUUAGGAGGUUAUGAGUUCAAAGCCAUUGAUGAGCAUGUCUGACCAAUCAAUAUUCAAGGAAGGAAAAAGAAUAUGAAGUUUGUGGUAACAUACAUUAUCUAAGUGGGAGUAAGGAAACUGGCGAGUAAGCAUCUCUAGGACAGUGCAGCCAAGGCCCCAUUUAUCAGCUGCAAGUCCAUAACCUGGGUUCUCCCUGUUCACAACCUACAUAGAAGAUGGGAUUCAAAUUUUAAAAAAUGAAAUAAAUAAGUGGAUGUGUUAACAACCCACAAUAAAACUACAUGGUAAACAAAAUUUUGCAGUGGUUCACUCAUACAAACUUGAACUAUCUAUAGAUAUUAGAUUUUCUACCAUAUGUAUUACUAAUUAGUGAUAUAAGUGCAUUGUUUCAUCUAGAAAUACUCCUAUGACUUCCUUUUUGGAUACACAUGAACCCAAAAAGAACACUGAAGAAUUCAUUCUGCAACCUCAAACUCAGAAUAAAUAGACAAGUUAUUUAGAUUUGCUUGUAGAAGUUGUAAAGAAUAGAGAACUCGAGCUACUACAAAACUAUUUGGGCUUAAAUUUUUGGAUUCAGGAGGAGAAGACCAAUGAAAUGUCACAUCUAAUAUUUAGAUAUAGGCCAAUACAUUGAUAAGAAGGUAAAUUAAGCAAGCUGACAGAAAAUUAACAAGUCAGGCAAACCUAAGAUCUACAUAUGCAAUGUGAACCACCUCUAUCACACAUCCACACACCACUAAAAAUCUGCAUCACCUAUUUUCAAAUUGAGCUUGACAUACAGGCUCAAUCUUUAACAAAGGAGGAAACAAUUUUCCUCACACUAGAUAUGAGAUCAUAGGUUUGGCCCAUCACCCAUGAGGCAUACGCUAGAAGCUGCUAUCAAUAACUUGGUUUUGAGCUUUUGAAACUGCAAGAAACAAACCAAACAAGUUUCUCUGGCUAGCAGCUUGACACACAAAUCAUUACACAUUGGGUGACUGAGAAACCUUGUCGAGUAGCUAUUUUCAAUAUCUGCCUACAAGCACUAGUUCACUCAAAAGGAUAAUAAUAACUAGAGCAACAACUCAAAUUCAUAUUUAAACAGUUCACCAUGUGAAAAAAUUAACACUAUAAGCUAAGACCACAAGACUCUUAGUGUGCGUGCCAAUUGCGGGUUCUUUCAAAGAUUACUAAAUCCUGUUUCUCAAAGCUGAAUGGUAAUUGCUAAGAAGCAAGUAUGAGAACACGAGACUCCUGUUGCAUGCGGCAAGUACAUGUUUUCCCAAAAGAGUAUUAUAUCCAUUUCUUGAUGCUAAUUGAUGAUUGCUAAGAAACAGGAAUGAAAGAACCCCAAACUCAUUAAUGUACUCGGAAGCUAAAUUUAACACACUUAAAAUUUGAUUUCUGUUAUAUUACGUUGCAAAAUGCACCAACAUUGAUGUUCUUUAUCACACCAAAGCAGUCCCCUAUAAAGAUUUGCAAUAUUACAUAUAUAUUUAGAUUAGCCGAUUUCCUUUUAAUCAUCAAAAGACAAAUCAAAGCUUACCUCAGGAGCCAUCCAGAGUGCAGUACCCUUGAAAGACUUGACAACAUUCAACUUAGUAGCCUGGAUGCAUGUCGAAUGAAUCCACUUAUCAGAAAUUGUGACAUACAAAAAAGAUUAAAACUCCAGGAAGUUUGGAAGACAAUAAAAGCAUCAAAAUGAGAAAGAAAAAAUAAAGGACAAGAAUGCGAUGAAAUGACAACCUUUGCAAGGCCAAAAUCAGCAAGCUUGACUGAUCCAUUAGCAUGCACCAAUAUAUUAGCGCAUUUAAUAUCUCUACAAGAAAAUAAAAUAAAGAAAAUCAAUAUCCUAAGUUAUUGUGCAGGCAUUUUCAAAGAUUUGGGACCCACCACUUUCAACUGCAAUCAAGAUACGAACAAACAUAAAAACUAAAGGAAAACAAUUUUCAUGUAAAUCCUUCUUUUAAUAAAUAAUUUUUCAUAUAGAUAAUUGACUCGUAAAAAUUGUUUAAAGGGCCACCUUCUCAGCAAUCCUUCACAAAUCACAAUUCAGGAGCCUUUUCUUUACAAGUACAAAUUAAUCACAUGCUAGCAUGAGUAUGCUCAAGUUUCUAGAUCAUUUAACCUUACAAUUUCUCAUCUUCCUAAACUUAAACAACAAACCAGAUGAGAAAACAGUGUAUAAAGACAUGCAGUACCACAAUAAAUAAAUAAAAAGUUCAUAAAGAUAUUCUAGAGUCUUUGAAAGCAGAUGAGAAAAGUGAUCGACCACGGUCAAUUAAAUAAAUAGGCAUACUGAAUUCAAAAGAUUCACUUAAAUCUCAUUAACUUGCAACCAUCCGCAAACAACUUACACCCUUCUUCAAAAGAGACAGUAGGCUUAACUCCUAAGUUAGUUCAGUAUCCAGUGUAUCACAAUAAUAGACAUAAGACAUGGGAAACAAAUAAUUAAAAUUGGUAAAAGAGAUCUAAUACAGAUAAAAAGAAGGGGCAGUAUAGAGAGCAAGAAUUUGUUGCUCUGAUUUGUCACCUGUGAACCAUAUUCCGGUCAUGCAAAUACUUCAAACCAUGUAAAAUCUGUCUUGUGUAGGCAGAUACUUGCGAAUCUCGAAGGUGACAUUUCUGGUAAAGAUUCAACAGAGAUCCUUGUGUAACCAGCUCAAGAAAGAUGUACAAUUUCGAAUCAUUCUGCAAAAAAUUUAACCAGGAGUGAAGAAAAAGAUCAACUACAGAGAGAAGAUUGCUAGACAAUGCAAAGGAGAUCGAAGUGUUAAGACCUAUUAUCCAAUUUAGUCAUGGUACUGAAAAACGUGACAACCGAAGUGAAUUUUGAAAGGAAAGACACAAGACAGAAAAUAAACAACAAACUGAAACCUAAGACAGUAUUUCACAUUUAAACUGCCAAAAGUGGAGGAUGAGACAUACAGAUCAAAGAAAUUUAGCAAGGUAAGCAUUUCUGCAUAUAGGAUCAACAUGUACGGAUAAAAUGUGCACUCUUCAGACUAAAGGCUUUUAUAUAAAAAAGUAAUCAUUCACAGGGAAAUAAUUAGAACAGUUCUUCAGAGGGGAGCCAUUUAAAGCAAGCAGAAGCACAAAAUUGAGAAGGCAUUACCUUGUCAGUUCCAUAAUAUUGGACUAUGUUCUCGUGUUCGAACUGUCUAAGAACUUCAAUCUCCUAAAAAGCCAAAUUAAAAAGAAACAUACGCAAAUCAGUGAAAAUUCCACAAAGGUAGAACAUAGGCCACCAAGAAGCACAAAGGAGAAAGCAUGAGAAUCUAGAAAUAUAAUGACAAUUUCAUAUGCUCAUAAUAGUAGCUUCCUUCAUCAUUCAAACUUAUUUCAUAGAUCUUAUAAAAGGAUGGUCCAUUUCUAGUCCAAAUACCUCUUCUUUGUUCCACUUCUAUUAACUUUUUACUGGAGGUGUGUCUCCAAAUUCCAGCACAAAUAAGUAGUUUUUGGAUAAACUCCAGCACCAACAAAAAUAUUGUACAAACCUGCUCAAGUUGGUAUAGACUUUCCCUUCCCCCAUCACCUUGAUCAAGUAAUGACACUUCCUUCACGGCAAAAAAGAAACCAUCACUGCAGCAAUGUGAACACAGAAGGUUACUUUCCAAUAGAAACUGUGAAAGCAGGAAAGGUUAAACAAGCCAUAAAAUUCUAAAAUAUAAACACAUUAGAAAGACCUUUAAAUUGGUGGAAAUAAGAGAGAAGGUUCACACUGAGUAUGCCAGAAAACUAUAAUUUUUAUUAAAAAAAUUGAUAAUUGUGGUGUCCGGGUCAGCUUACGUGCACCUUGACUAGUUCCACCGGAUACAUGUCACCUUCCACCGGCAACAGGUAUCCACUGGGACAGAUGGGAAGAAACCACCUAGAGUUUUUGUCUUUGCUGAGAUUGAAGCCAGAAAAACUAUAAUUUUAUGAAGUACAUAUCAAUCUUUUGUUUCCUUUGUGUGCUUUAUCCAAUUUAGUCAUGGUACUGAAAAACGUGACAACCGAAGUGAAUUUUGAAAGGAAAGACACAAGACAGAAAAUAAACAACAAACUGAAACCUAAGACAGUAUUUCACAUUUAAACUGCCAAAAGUGGAGGAUGAGACAUACAGAUCAAAGAAAUUUAGCAAGGUAAGCAUUUCUGCAUAUAGGAUCAACAUGUACGGAUAAAAUGUGCACUCUUCAGACUAAAGGCUUUUAUAUAAAAAAGUAAUCAUUCACAGGGAAAUAAUUAGAACAGUUCUUCAGAGGGGAGCCAUUUAAGGAAGCAAGCAGAAGCACAAAAUUGAGAAGGCAUUACCUUGUCAGUUCCAUAAUAUUGGACUAUGUUCUCGUGUUCGAACUGUCUAAGAACUUCAAUCUCCUAAAAAGCCAAAUUAAAAAGAAACAUACGCAAAUCAGUGAAAAUUCCACAAAGGUAGAACAUAGGCCACCAAGAAGCACAAAGGAGAAAGCAUGAGAAUCUAGAAAUAUAAUGACAAUUUCAUAUGCUCAUAAUAGUAGCUUCCUUCAUCAUUCAAACUUAUUUCAUAGAUCUUAUAAAAGGAUGGUCCAUUUCUAGUCCAAAUACCUCUUCUUUGUUCCACUUCUAUUAACUUUUUACUGGAGGUGUGUCUCCAAAUUCCAGCACAAAUAAGUAGUUUUUGGAUAAACUCCAGCACCAACAAAAAUAUUGUACAAACCUGCUCAAGUUGGUAUAGACUUUCCCUUCCCCCAUCACCUUGAUCAAGUAAUGACACUUCCUUCACGGCAAAAAAGAAACCAUCACUGCAGCAAUGUGAACACAGAAGGUUACUUUCCAAUAGAAACUGUGAAAGCAGGAAAGGUUAAACAAGCCAUAAAAUUCUAAAAUAUAAACACAUUAGAAAGACCUUUAAAUUGGUGGAAAUAAGAGAGAAGGUUCACACUGAGUAUGCCAGAAAACUAUAAUUUUUAUUAAAAAAAUUGAUAAUUGUGGUGUCCGGGUCAGCUUACGUGCACCUUGACUAGUUCCACCGGAUACAUGUCACCUUCCACCGGCAACAGGUAUCCACUGGGACAGAUGGGAAGAAACCACCUAGAGUUUUUGUCUUUGCUGAGAUUGAAGCCAGAAAAACUAUAAUUUUAUGAAGUACAUAUCAAUCUUUUGUUUCCUUUGUGUGCUGGGCGAUCAAACCAAUAUCUUCUUCACGCAGCCUGACUUUUGUAAAUGAUGUAAACAUUAUCAUUCAGACAUGCUCAGUGCUUUGCACAAUCUGUAAUGCUUCUGUAGCACUUUCGUAGGGCUACCUUCCUAUCAAUAAAAGCUUACACUAAUCUAUCAAGAAAAUCCAACUAGUUGGACUCAUCAAUAAAUCAUUAUUGCAGAAGAGAAAAAAGACAAAUUUUCUUAUUAACCAUUAAGUUCUCUGCUAUGGUCAGAUUAACCAAAUUAUUAUGUAUCUUGAAUCUCAUCAAGAUAGUAAAAAUUCACAAAUAUACUUCCCUUUAUCUAACAGUGUCCUCUCCUAACUGUAGCCAAUCUUCUUCUUUUUUUUUAUAACAAGAAAAACCCGAAGCCGCUACCCUUUGGGUGAUCAUAGGGUAAAACCCCGCUCCUAUGCAAUAGCUCGCAAACCACAUAAGAGAGGUAACCCACACUAGGCAAGCCCGGUGCGACGAGCUCGACCCAGAAGGCAAACCCCUUGCUUUCGCUGUCAAGGGGUUUCGAACUUGAGGAGGGUAACUGUAGCCAACCUUAAAUUACACUGUAUAUUCAUACAAUACAUAUUCAGCACUGAACGUCAAGUAACUAUUUUCUUAACAAUGGAAUAUCUUUUUGAAAUAUAAAGUUUCUUAUACCUUAAAUUGAUUAAUGAUAAUUAGAUAACAGCUUCCAUUACCAAAUCCUCAGAAAUAUAUUACUUCCUUAAGAUUUAGAAUCACAAAUAACAUCUUGUAUUAUCUUGAUACAUCAAAUACUACAUAAGCCUUCAUUCCUUGAAGCUCUAUUUAGUAGUUCCACUUUCGAACAGACAGAUGUGCUUGCCUUCAAUAUAAACCGAGGCUAUGAGAAAUCUGUUUCCUGGUCUAUUAAUUUUGAGAUAAUGAGAUUUUGCACCAAAAUCACAGCCGAGAAAAGUAGCUGUAAACGAAAAAUUUGAUCCACCAUAUAAAGAACCCCAUAAUAAAGGGGUGUUUGUUUCUAGAAAAUCAUGCUAAAAAUUGGAAAGCAAAAAAAAAUAAUGAAGAAGAGUCAUAGCAUUGGGCUUACUGUGAAAUUCCUUCAUAGACGGAUCCAAAAGAUCCACAUCCUAGGAGACCACCCUUGUCCCAUCCUGUAAUGAAGCGUGUGAAUCUCCCAUUCGGUGAGAUGAUUGACAUACUCUCUGUCGUGCCGCUGGAAGAAUCGUCAUCAUUUGAAGUAUUGGCAAAAAUUACUGACCAAAUAAUUUUUAUUUAUAAAGACAGUGUUUAGGCCAACUUGUGUACACCUCGAUUAUUCCAACAAAUACCUACUACCUUCCACCAAUAAAGUACCGGGAAACUCUAUCUAAUAGAACAUAAGCUCUCUACUGAAAACUGAAUCAUGAUCUCUAAGAGUUUCACCCACUUUAUAAAUCACUAGGUUAGACCCUUGAAUGCCUAGUAAAAAAGUCCCUUUUUAACACAAAAUUGGAGAGAGAACAGUGUUGCCACCCUAUCUUAAUGAACAUAUGUCAAUGCAAAUUGUAAGCAAAUUGAGCGUUUUAAUAUAUAGUUUUAAAAUCUUAUAUACCUUUUUAUUAUCAGGAUAUUUUAUAGAUAUUAAAUACGAUUCUUUUACAUUUGAACCACAUCCUUUAACAUAGGAGCAGGGUGAUACCAAAUCCCCCACCCCGCAAAAACAUUUCAAAUUUUUCAUCAAGCCAACGACAACAAUUUUAUAACCAUACCCUCUUCUAACUGAGAGAGCUACUAACCAUACCCUCUACCAUCUGAGAGAGCUAAGUUUAAAUUAUGUACUCCCUUUGUCCCAAUUUUGUGGCAGCCUGUGGAUUUUGAGAAUCAAUUUUUUUAAUUUUAACCGUGAAUGCAAAAAUUAAAUCUUGAUUUUUUAUUGGAAUAAAAUUUACAAAUUUGAAACUAUGUAAAAUGUAUUAUAAGUCACGGUAAUUGACAAUUUAAAAAAUUUGCAAGCCAUUUGAAAAAUAUUUAGUCAAAAAAAAAACUUGUUUGACUUUCAAACCCAAAAUGUGCCACAUAAAUUGGGAUGGAGGAAGUAUAAAAGAUGAGCAACAUAAUCAGCUAGAUAGCCUAGGUUGUUUAACUUGUAAAAGAACAUUAAAUAUCAAAAUCUCUCUCAAUAUCCCAACUUUGGCACUUUGCAACCCAAAAAUAUGAAAACAACAGUAAUUGUGCCUGAUCAAAACUCAAAUAUGAGCAGCAAGGUCAUUCAAAACUAGGAGAAUAUCUCCAAAUUGUGUUCAGGGAUCUUCAUCCUCUAACUAUGUUAUUAACAAUUUAUACAAGAUAUCCACAACAAACUGAACAGAACAAUAGAACAUAAUAGCUCAAUUGUAACAGUUAAUAGCAUCAUCAUCACUUCAAACAAGUACUUAUGUCCCAAACUCGCCCUUUCGAACAGGAUUCCCAUUUAUCCUCUUUUCAAUUAAAGAGAACUAAUAAGAUAUUUUCAAACAGAUUAACCAUUGCAAUACAUAGAAAAACAAGCCAGAAGGUCCUAUUUAAAAACAUCCAAACAAGAAAAGUGACCAAUUUUCCGAUUCCAACUAUUAAGUAACACUCUCAGGUAAUGUUAUCCAUAACAAGCCUUUUUGCUAACUUCACAUUACCUUGAGAGAGUUUUAGAAUAUGUUAGGUAAAUAAAUGCAUAGUAUAGAGAUAAAAAAAACAACACAACCUAUAAACAAUACCAAAACUUAAUCAAUAUGCAAUCUACUCAGAAACGAGAAAUAAAAAUCAAUAUGCUCCAUCUAAACACAAACAUUUACAUAACUAAAUCAAUUAAAGCAGGAAUCAACCAAUCGAAAUCCGGAAAACAGAUACUUAGUAACAAAAACAGAUCAGAUCUUGAACAAAUGUACCUGAAUACCGUAACGAAUCGAUUAUAGGUUAGGUUUAUCUGCACUUUUGUAUAUAGACCCGAUUUGAAGAAGAAAAUUUAUAUAGAGGAGAGAGAAGGAAGGAGAGAGAAAGUGUGUAUGCAGUAUGCCCUACUCACCUCGCUCCUCUAAUCUAAUCUUUCCGGAAGAUUUGAGGGUUUGCGUCCAACAAUUGCUUUCUCUCUCCAGUUUUCGCUGCCCUCUGCUGUGGGCUUACACUAUAUCUGUGCAAUUUACAGUGAUUUCAUCUUACGGGUCGGGUUGCUUCCUAUUUUAGGGCAGAAAAAUACAUAAAUGAGUUUUAAAAUUUAAUAUUUUUAAUCAGCAUUAAAUAUUUAUCGAAUUUAUAGUUUAGAUUCGGCGAGAAUAUAAGAAAAGAAAAAAAAAUUCACCUGAAAUACUAAGAAAGUUCUAUCAUAUCCCAAGAUAUACAAUCAUAAAAAGAAAUUAUACCUUAAAAAAUUAUACCUCCGAUCCAAAUGUCAAUUUCUCCUAAAUUUCUUUUCUUUCGUAAAUAUUGAUGGAGAUUAAAAAUAAUAACUUCUGAUAAAUUAGCUUAAAGGAUCAAAUUAUUUGGGGCCUACUCAAGAAAUAUUUUAAACGUGUCAUCAAGUAUAAAGAAUAACUUUUGUUAUUUUCUCUAACUUAGGGAUUCCCUUGGAUGUAAAUGCAACAUCAACAUAGUGGAGUCAUAUUUAACACAUUGUGACGCCAUUAUUUCAUCGUGGUGACUUUUUCACUGAGGAAUAUGUACCUCUAUUAUAUUAAUCAAUAAAUUUAGAAACUAUCGUAAUUUAAUUAAAGUAUAUUACUAAAAGAUGAUUUUAUAUUAUUGUCAGUGUCAUACUGUUAAAAUGUCCCCAUUAAAAUGUCAGAUUUUGAACCUGAUAGCACUUACAAUUCAGACCCAAUAUCACUAUUAACUAGUUCAAAUUUUAGUAGUUAAAAAUGCUUCCAUAGUAAUAUUAUUUGUAAAAUAGUGUAUACUUGAGAAACCUAAAAUAAAAAUGAAUCAUUUUCAUUCUAUCUAAAUAAUAUAUAGCAGAACCAAAACUAUUGUUUUUUUUUAUAAAAAAAAGUUACAAUCUUUCAAAAAGCAACGCAUCUUAAAUCUGUUUAGACAAUGAACUCUAUAUUCUUGAGCGCAUUUCCCCAAAUUAUUAGAUCUUCAACAUGUUUAUACCCUUCGUUGGCACAUUAGUUUAUCUCUCUCCCCGGAUAUGAUUGAUAAAGGAGCAAAUACCGUAUACCAAUACAAUUCUUUUUCAAAUUUUCAAAGCUCGCGUAUUAUCUAAUAAACUUACUUUUGUUACAUCCAUUAUCCCUGAAAAACGAACAAAUUCUCCAAAAAGUUUAUAAAGUUUAAAGGCAUUUGAUGCUUCUGAACCAAUUCAAAAAGAUUCCACCAAAGAAAUCAUUCUUGUAUUGUAAUACUUUUGGUCGGCUUCCUCGAUUUUUAACUGGUAAAGUGAUUUAAAACUAAUUCAUUUCUUAAAACCUGUUAGUAUAUUCUUUCUCCAAACAUCUAUACGACAUACUAUCCUAUUAAACCCAUACUAGUUGAAGUAAUCUGUUAUUUAUCAAACAAAUUGGAGCUUUUUUUAAAAAAAAAUGUGAGUAAUUUAGAGUGAACAAUUUUUUGAUGUUUUUCAAAAACCUGAAUAUUCCAAAAUUCUGAAUUUUUCAAAAUUUUAUAGUCAAACGUGUUUUUCAGAGUUAAACACCCCCUUUAUUCACAUGAUAUCAGAACUAGACUCUUCUUUGUUCUUGGUUUAUCUAAGGUUAAUCUCCAUAUUAUUGUUCAUGCUCCAAAUGUUCAUAAAUCUUUCUUCAUAUCAACCAAGCUUAACCUCACUUCUAACUUACCGAAUCUCGAUCCUCCAUGUUAUAUGGUCACGCUCCAGAUAUCCAACUCUAGACAUGCAGGAUUGUUGUUGUUCCACAAUAGUUGACAUGUGUUCACUUUUAUCAACUAGCUUUUGAGGUUGAGUCAAAGACAAAAUACGCACUUUCCUCAUGGAGGCAGAGUUUUUAAUUUGAUCAAGUACCUUUUUCUUUUCCUUUAAACGUGAAUCAAAAUCCCAAAGUUGAUUUCUUUUUUCGUUAUUCCAUUUUAUCAAUUUGCAGAGAGGGAAAUAUAACUAGUUAGGCGUAUGACUCGUCCCACAUCAAUGUUGCAACAUAUUUAUCUGUUGUUUAUUAAGUGAACAACUACGAUUUAAGGACACGACCUUACUUGAAUUGUUGUUGUUCCACAGUAGUUGACAUGUGUUCACUUCUAUCAACUAGCUUUUGAGGUUGAGUCAAAGACAAAAUACGCACUUUCCUCAUGGAGGCAGAGUUUUUAAUUUGAUCAAGUACCUUUUUCUUUUCCUUUAAACGUGAAUCAAAAUCCCAAAGUUGAUUUCUUUUUUCGUUAUUCCAUUUUAUCAAUUUGCAGAGAGGGAAAUAUAACUAGUUAGGCGUAUGACUCGUCCCACAUCAAUGUUGCAACAUAUUUAUCUGUUGUUUAUUAAGUGAACAACUACGGUUUAAGGACACGACCCUACUUGAACAGGAUCUGGUACCACUGUAUCCUUGAUUUCUAAGGAGACAGGAAAUCAAGUAUGGUUGAUGAAGCAUGGCCAUUGACCAGAUGGCCUCAUGGCUGUCUGACAGACUCCUCAAACUUUUUGUUUGUUCCUCUUUCGUUCUCCGAAUACUAGCUUUCUAUUUCAGCACUGUUUGCUUCCAUUUUCAGCUACUCUUUGGUGAUACUUUCUGACUGCAAUUUAGAGUUCUUGGUCCCAAAAAGAAAAUAAAGUCUUCGUUGAGUAAGAAGGCUAGUAGCUAGAAAGCGACUUAAGAAUGGUUCUUCAAGCUAUUUGACUUACAUAAACUCAAGGCUGUGAUCCAAGCGCAUAAAGAGAGGAAAAGCUCACUGAACUUUAAUGGUUGAUAAAUACUAUGAUUGUAUUGUAGUAUUAGAAGACAAGAUAGUCAUUGAGUUGUUUACUUACAUAGUAUUAGAGCUGCUAGGAAGCUUAUCGUUUGGAAGAGUGUAUAAAAAUAAUAUUGAGUGUAUUAGUAAUGCUUGCAUUAGUUAUACAUAGAUUAUUUUUACGCACUGUUUGGUUUGAUGCAUUAAAAAUAAUAAUUUACAAAGAUACCCUUUACUAAUAUGGUGGAAAAGAUACAAAAAAGGUAUUGAGGGGCAAUUGGGUCUUUAAUUGAGUUAAUGCUUGCAUUAAAACCAUUGCAUUGCUAAUACCUAGAAAUCCAUGGUAUUAACAAUACACACCUUAAUACACAAUAGGGUGUAUCAGUUAUACAUAGGUUGGAAAAGAGCACCAAACAAGGCACUAUUAAUACACAAGGCUAAUGCAUGCAUUAUUUUUUUUAAUACACUCUACCAAACGAGAGUAUUACAGUUAAUGUAAUGGUAUUUUCCACCUGAAAGGCUUACUUGAAUUAAUCCAAACUGGAUGUCUGGCACGAUCCAAGUGCUGAAUGUAUGUAAAUUGAACAAUAGUAAUAUACCGAAGUAACAAUCUAUGUAUAGCUAUCACUUGUGUUAUUGCUGACAAAGAAGGGCAGCACCUACGAAACUUUAUGAUCAAAUAAGCUUUGCUUUGCACUUGGCAUAUCACACCCUGUUACUGAUUCAAACAAUCUGUACACAUGCCUAACUUGUAGAUAAAAUAUAAUAGGAGAAUAACCGAGUUCCUGAUAGUCAAGGAUCCUUACAAAAACAUGUGAGCCAAAAAGUGGAUCAUGGCAUAUGAAUCCUCAACAUUUUACAGACAAUACUGGGAAAAACAACCCCCUUCUUCAGAAUGUAUUAGAAUAAUAAAAUACACACAGGUGUGAAGCACUAAUACGCAACCCACACAUCUUCAUCCUUACAGCUUCGAAGCUGCAUCCUUAUCUAAAAAACAAACUAAUUCUCCUUCGGGUGAAACCAUCUGCACAGGCAGCAAAUCAGAACUUUUAUCAUCA